rnacentral:lncRNA from 1 species
AAAACCGUUGCCUCUGAUCUACGUUUAUGAUAAAAUACUCUACAAGAGACUUAUAUGUAAAUGUAAAACAUUUUAAAUACUAAAUAUAAUUUUUUUUUUAAUAAAUACUCAAAUAUAAGAGUUACUUAAAACUUAAUUAGGUCUUUUUAUUAGUUUUAUUUGUUUUUUUCUCCAGAUAAAAAAUAUUAAAUUCUUUGUAUAGCUAAAAAUGAUUAAAGAAAUACUUUAGAAGAACAUAACAAAACAUGCUUUUUAUAGACAGAAUAUAAACAUAAUAACUAUAGGAUGGCGACAUGAUUCCAAAGAUGCAACAAGACCAUGACAGAAAAUGUCGACACUUGAAUGUAGACAGAAGAUGUCGUAUCAUGUAAAAAGAAACCAAAGAAGGAUGCAAAACUAUCACAGAGAAUGACUCUAUAACACAUUCAUAAAAAUGAAGCCAUGGAAACACCUUGCUGCAAUAUGUUGACACAUUCCUCUUACUCUUUGCUUGAUGCCAUUUCUGAAAAGAAAGGUCAAAAUUACUUCACAUCAAGUUUUAUUUCUUUUUUUAUUUUGAUUUAAUUUUAAUAUGUAACGUUGUGAGAAGUUAACAGUACCUUAAUUAAAUGCUGAUAUAUUAACUUUAAUGAUGAUCUUCAAUUUGCCUUGUUUGUUUCGUUGACCUGUUUACUUUGUUCUUGGACUAGCAUUUGCAAAUUUCGUUGAAGCUGAAAAUCAGAAAAGUAAAAAGAUAGAGUAGAUUUGGAUUACCUUUUUAGUAUCAUUAACGUUCACAAAUUUUAAAAAUUUUAACCUUUGAAAAUGAAAAUUCUUACGCACCUCUAAUUGUUCUUGAAUGCCCCUCGAAAUCUCAAGUUGCAGUUGUCGUGAUUCCUCAAUUUGCAUUCGUCUUCCCGAAACAUUCAAUUACGUUUAGAAACAUUUGUAUAAAGUGAUAUGCAAGUAAUUGUGAGAAAAAAAUGCAUACAUUUAUCAAUAAAUAAAAUAGAAGAUUUAUUUUUGAAAUUAUAUAAGAGAUUAGUUAGUCUAAAUUAACCUAGCAAUUGCAUAAACCUAAUAAUUGUUGCAUGGUACCACGUUACAUUUUGUGUUGAAGUUCUGUCACUGUGUCUCUGUCAUGAGUUUCUUCUCGCCCUUCUGCAUUGGAAAGACAACAGUGGGUGGUGAUUUAUCCAUAGAAGUAUAUAUAUAUGCAAUUUAUUCAAAUAUUUUUUUAUUAAUUUAUGCAAUAUUUGAGACUAAUAAGCAUGAUAAAGAUGACUUUUCUUUUUAUUAAAUAUUAUUAUAAAACUUGAUAUCUAUUAAUUACAUGUUCCAGUUUUAAAACAAGGCAUGCAUUUUGCUGCUAUACGUGGGCACAUUGAACAAUAAUUUAUACCUUUGGAAGUGUUCUUCACGUACAUUGUGGAUCGAUAUUUCUGCACCAAUUGUGUUAUACACUAGUAAGUAACAUAAAAUUCAUGAACAAAAAUGCUAAUUCCUUAUCAAAAGAUUAACCUGCAAGUGGCUUUUAACAUGCAAAAUUGUCAGAGACUUUGAAUUCAUCAUCUUUAGCACUUCCUUGGGCUUUGCUUCUGCAAGUUAUAAAAAAUCAAACAACGAAAAUUUCCAUGACAAUUUGUAGCUUCUCUUCUCCAUAGUUUUAAUAAUUUUAUACAAAGUUAAAACUCCUUAGAUAUCAUACCAUUGUUCUCUAAUGUGAUAUUUUUCAUCAUAAUUUGUCAUGUUUCACCAAUAAAAGGAUUAAUUUGUUCUAAUUGAGAAACGUUAAGAAAUCAAACUGAAAGCUCUUAAAACUGAUCCACUUUUAUAUUAAAAACAAUAGAAAUCGCAUCGCAACAUUAUGAGACUUAUUUAAGAUUUGAAAAUAUAAGUGAUUAUGAUUCUAUGCUGUACUCUAGAAAUUUGAACUUAACUUACUUUGAGCACCACCAAGGCAAUUAACCGCUGCUACGAACAGUUCAUGCAAGUCUUUGGUCCAUUUUAUUCCUUUUUUCCUCGUUGCAAUUGGAACCAUGCUAGAAGCUGAGUUUCCAGAAGUGGCACAAACAACCUCAAACUGAGAGAACAAAAAGCCAAUAUCAAAUUCAUAGAUCUCAUUGAAAAGCAAAACACCAAACAGAAACAUGAAUCACCAACCCGAUUAACUGGGGCAGAAGCAUCACCCUCCAAGAUGUCAUUUUGCUUGUUUCUGAAAUGCUCGUAAAGUUCACAGAACGUGUCUCCAUGGCUGGAAAAGAAGGAAUCGACAACACUUCCGAACAGUGGAGCUGACUGGUCCCCAGAAGACUCACACAUCAUAUUUUGCGAAUCGAAGUUCAAACAUGAAGCGGGAACAUCAAACAGAUCUUUCUCAUGAUGUUGGAAGUUGAAGCCGUUUUUUUCUGAGACUCCAACGUUGGCCACACUGCUGUGAACUCCGUUCAACUCCUGCGAAGCGUAAUGCAUAGUUGUAGUUUCAGUGAUGAAAACUUUUAGUUCUUUGAUGUUUAUAUAAAUUACUAUAUAUGUAUAUAUAUGUGCUUAAAAGUUGUCACUGGUGUACCUUUCAAUUUAAUUUCUGAAGCGAGUAGAUUCUAAGUUUAACGAGCUAGUAUAAAAAAAUUAUGAUUUUUUUAAAAUUUAGUUUGUAUAUUUGUAUAAACUCUAAUAUAGUUUUAUUUUAAAUUAUUUUUAAUUUUUGCAUAUUAUAAUUUUGAUUUAUGAAAAAACGUAUAUUGUGUUUGAUUUGAUUUUUCUUAAAAAAGUAUAGGAGAAGCUGUAUAAUGUGUUCACUAGGGAAAAAAAAUAAAUGGGUUAGUACUACUUUGAUUUGCAGUACAUCAUCUCUGCUGUGGGAGUACAACUUAAAAAAGAACGAAAAAAAAAAUUGUUUGUUGAACGCACAGUAAUUAGAAAAUUAUACUUUCACAACUUAACUUUUUUAUGAUUGAUUUAAUAAUAUAAUAAUAUAUAAAAAAAUAUAUGAUUAAAAUAUUAAUAUUUUAAUUUGUUCAAGGGAUGUAUACUUACUAUAAGAAAAAGAUGAUUAUGAAAAACGAUAUUAACUUAAAUAGUGAUAGUUUUGUGUUCUUAAAAUUAACAAUUCUAGAAGUAUAGAUGUUAGUACUGUAACAAUCACUUUAUCAUGGGUUACCAUUAUUGUUUCUUAGGGAUAUUUGAGAGUUGGGUUGAAUUACACUGAGUUAUUAUUUAAAUUUAAAAAAAUAUCAGGUUGGGUUUUUGUAUCUUUUAUAUUAAGAUAAAUUUAUUUUUUAGCGGAUUGAAUAGAGUUUACCGUUUGAACGGGGAUUGAGUUGAGUUAAUUAUGAUAAAAUUUUUGAAUUUUUAUUUAUAUAUUAAAAAUUGUAAUUUUUAAGUGUUAAUUUAAUUAAAAAUAACAUAAUGUUUACGAAAAUUAAUUUGAACAUCAAGUAAGUUAAUAACUCAACUCAUAAUAAGUUUGUCCAAAUUAAUUUAAGAAAUGAAAAGAAAAAUAUUACACAAUUUGUCGAAGAAUCUAGCUUGUUACUAAAAAGUGUGAGACGGACUCACUAAUCUAGCUUGUUGAUCUGUUUAGGUCCGUCCCGCAUAGUUUGCCUUGUGCAGGCCAACAGUAGAUACGAUCGGUUGGCUCACUGACCCACAUAAAUAAAAAGAUAAUUAUUUUAUUUUUUCUGAAAAAAAAAAUCACAUCCCACUCACUCAUUAUUGCAAUGUGACAUUUAUUUUAAAAAUUGAAUUUAAUGUAUUAAAAAAAGAAAUGUUUUAUUUUAAUCAUCUAAAGGAGUUAAUAUUAAGAGUGAAAGUGAAUUUAGUUUUAAGUAAAGUCUUAUAUCUAAAAUUUGUUAAUAAAAAAGUAAUAUAAAAAAGAGAUUCAAUAAGAUAGUUAAAAAAAUUAGUCAUCUUCAUUAAAAUAUUUUGUAACAAAACUUUGAUAAGAUACUCUUAUACAUUUAUUAUAUAUAUAUAGGAGAAAUAUAUGCAAAACAAAACUUUAAUUAUUUUUAAUCAAACCUUCUAACAACCCUCAUACUUGAAUUCUUAUUUUUAUCUGAAUUGAAUGAAUUGAAACAAAGAUAAAAUUUUAAUUUUCCAACCGUAAGAAUAAGUUUUAUUUUUCUUAUGCGGGCUAGCCUCUAGGCAUGUGAGUUACCUCUUAUACAGAAUGAGUCAAUAAAAUGAACUCACAUUCGAAGCAGGCCAAUCCAACUUGCAUUUUGCUGGUCAAACGCGAGAUAGAUCUAUACAAGACAAACCAGCCCACGUUGUUACCCCUUAUAUGUGCAUGAAUGAAACAAAAUCUAGGUUGAGGGUAACUAUAUAGUAAUCACUUGUCCAAAUUUAUUGUGAACUAACAAUGUUUAGCAGACUUUCUUCUUUAAACCAAUUUGAAGAUCAAGUCUCAAACUUUAAUAAUAAGCUUACACUUUUAAAAUAAUAAAAUCAAAAAUAUUGUAUAUUACCGUAUAAGUAGAAUGUAUAUAUUAAUCCUAAUAAUUAAGGCUUGGGCUUGAUAUUAAUUGAUAAAGAGAGGAAAAAUAAAUGGCAAUUACUUCCUGCACGCACCAUAUGACCGAACCCAAUUUCAAUAUGAAAAGACAAAAAGGUCCUUAAAUAAAAUGGUGUACAUAUAAAAAUACAGACCCCUUUUCUAGAAUAUGUUUUUGGCUCUUUUUUUUCAAUACAAUUUUUUUAUUAUAAUUUUGUAUCCAGAAUGUGAUUGAUUUUGUUUCCGGAUUUUUGUUUUGGCAACAUAAUAAUCUUGGAUCUACUUUUCAGAAUGUAUUAUUUUUAAUUUUGGAUUUUUAUUUUUAGAAUGAAGGACAUUUUUUAAAAUUUAAAAUUAUAUAAGAUGCAAGAUAAAAAAAUUGGGUAUAGAAUGAAUUUAUCAAAAUAAAUUAGAGCUUGAAAUUGUCAAGAAAGAAACAAAAUUGACUGAUAAAAAAAAAGAAAGUUGCGAAAUAAGUUUGAUACAUGUCCUAAAAGAACUUAUUAAUUUUUUUCCUUACAUAAGCUCAUUUGGCAUUAGUCAAGGUGAAGUUCACACUAAUAUGUUAUUAAUUUAAGCGACUAGUAAAUCGACACUACUUCUAAUAAAAAUUACUCCUAAUAAAAGGUAAUUUCUUAACAUUAAUUAAAAAGAAAUCUCUUUAUUAACACAAAUUACUUUUUAUUUUAAUAUUUUUUAGCAGUUAAUUUAGAGUUGACGGAUAAAAUUUUAAAUCUUGUAUUUAACAUCGAUUUAACUGACACCAACCUUAUAUAAUUAAGUUAGUGUUGAUAGUGACUUAAUAUUAUUAGUUUAACCAACACUAUUUUCAUCGAGAUAAUUCCCAAUAUUCUUAUAAUUAUGUAUAAGGGUUGGACCACCCCUGAAGUGGUCCCUAUUUAUUUAUUUAUUUUAUUGCUGAUAAAAAAAAAUUCUUAUAAUUAUAAGAUUUGACACAAAACAUAUUUUUUAACUUUAAUUAAAAUUAGGGAGAUAAAAGUAAACACUUAUAAUGGUAUGUUGUGUAUAUGAUUAAAGACACAAUAUAGAAAUAAACUUUGUUGUUAAUUGUAAACUCAAUUUCCCAUAACACAACACAAGUGAAACGAUUUCAUGAUGAACAAAAUGGUAAAAGAGAAUAUUGGAUAAGUGAAUAAUAUGAAAGAACAAGAGAAAAAGCUAAAAAACUAAGAAUCUACCUUUAUACACAAAGUUCUUUUUUGUGCGUGAGUGAGAACCUUUGGACAAAGCAUUAAUAUUAAUAUCUAUUGUAAAUAUUUUAAUAAUAUUUAUAUUAUAUAAUGAUUGCGUAACAGCGUGAUAUAUUAUAUUUUUUUAUAUAAUUAUAUUGUAAAUAUUUUAUUAAUACUUCCAUUUUUAAUUAUAAUAAUAAUAUUUAAAAAUAUAUUAAAAUAAUAAAUAAAUUAUAAAUAAUAAAACAAUUAUAAUUUGAUGACUGAAUUAGCAUGUAGCAUUUUUAUUUUUUUUUAAAGUUAGAUGUUAACUUUAUUAUUGUAAACGUUAAGAACUUAUGUAAUGAUGUUUUAAUUUUCAUUUUAGUGUUGUAAAAGUGUUGACAUUAUGCUAAUGGCAUUUGUUUUUUUUAUUUAACUUUUAUUGAUAUCAAUUAAAAUGGUUCAAUACAAGUCUAAUAAUGAAUUUUGAACUUGAUUAGUUUAAUCAUCAAAACUUACCAAAUUAUCUAUGUUGUAGAUAAUAGACAAUUAAUCUUAAUUACCUCAUAAAUUAUUUAUCGUAGAAUCAACUACAAAUAUGGUAGAACCUAUGUAACACAAAUAUGGAUAUGGACACUGACACGAUACGGAUACAAACACGGAGAUACGUAUAAUCUCUAAAACGUAGGACACGGGACACAUAUCUAUGUAUUAUAUAAUUUUGAAUUAUAUAAUUGAAAAUAAAUAUUUAUGUGCAAAAAUAUGUUUCAAAUUCUUUUGGGAGCAGAAAAUAUUUUUCAUGAUUGGUUCAAAAGAAUUUGUUUCUUAUUUUUAUAAUCAUAAUAAAAAUUUAUAUAAUAAAUUUGAGUUUUUAGAAAAUUGUUAUAGAAUCGUGCUAGAAUUUUCAAAAAUCCAAUAAAUAUUUUUUGAAUUUAACACUUCACUGAUAAGUAUUCUACGAGUGUCAACACCGAUACAUGUGUCCAACAUGAAUACGCCAUUUAAGAGAAGUGUAUGAGUCUUAUAAGGUAGAACUAGUACACAUACAAAUAAUAAGACAAAUUCAGAUAUUUUUAUUAUUUAUUAUAUUUUUGUUUUGAUGGCUAUCCAUCCACAGCACUCUUGUUUGACUUUGCAUGAAUAUGCUUCAACAGUGGCUAGAGUAAGAGACGUGUUUUUAUCGUAAAUUUGAUAAUUAAUUAAAAAAAAAGAUAGAGAAAAAGGAAAGAGGGUUCCAUUGCUUAUUGGAUAAAAUAAGGCAGAAAUAUUCUGGUCUUUUUAAAUAUGAUGCUCACCUUUUUAUAAUUCCAUAAUUUUUAUUCACAAAAACAAAAAGUUUUCACCGAAAGUUCUUCACAAAAUGGCACAGAAUGAAACACGAGGACUGAAACUUUUUUCAUCAAUUAAUGAAAUUGAAAAAUACUAUCAUAAUGUUGACACAUGCGUGCAAAAUUAUCCAAAAUAAUUUCAUAGCAUGUUUGGGAGAGAUAAAAAAAUGUAACUUCCAGCUAUUUUAUUGAAAUCAAAUUUGCUUAUAAAAAAAGUUAAAUGUUUGAGUUCGGGAUGAAGUUGAUCAUUUUUUUCCAAAACAAACUUCUUUUUAAUAUAAAAAUUGCAGUCUAUUACAUUUUUUUAAAAAAAAUCUCUUUUAGUUAUUUUCACAUACUUUUACUAGAUAAAAGUUGGUUUUUUUAAUUGAAACAAAUAUUUUCUUUCAAACUACUUUUCUGUUAGAGUUUUUAUUUUUACUAUAAUAAUUUUUGUUAAUACACAUAAUGUAUUAUUGAUAAUAGUUACCAUAAGUUUUGUUUUUAAUUUUGAAUCAUAUAAAUAUAAUUUAACUUGUUUACUAAUGUUAUAUUAUAAGAAAACUCCCAACAAAAUUACAAUAAGUUACAUAUUAAUGUCUACUUCACAAAUAGAUUUUUGAAUAAUGUAUGCUGAUAAGUUUGUUAACUUAGAUUUUAAGUAUUUCAUUAGUAUAAUAGGUUUUCAUCUAAUAUUUUUUUAGAAUUCUUUAUUAAUAGGUAUAGAUUACCUAUGUAACAGUUUUGGUUUAGUCUUCCAUAUUUUUUUUGUAUUUUUUAUUUAUUUAUUUUAAUAAUACUUUUUCAUGUGAUGACAGAUAAUUGUUGUUAUUUGAGGUGUUAACCAACCUAGAUGUCAAGUUUCAUAAUGAUAAGAGAACUUUUAUAAAAAAAAGAUUUUUAAAUAAAUAAUUUAUUUAUUAUAUUGUACAUGCAUAGUUACUAAAUAAGACCAACAAUAUAUAAAGAAUAUAUAAAGAGAGAGGGAAAGAGGAUAACAAAGUAUAUAAAUGCUACAUAAGGAAUUGUUAUACCAUGAAUUGUGUAAAAAAGUAAAUAUGCGUUUUCUACUGCAUGCCAUGAAGAUAAAGGAAUGCAGAGGAAACAAGACUCUGCUGAACUGAAACAAAAAAAAAGGCUCUAUUUAUGAAAAUUACAAUGAGCAAAUUAUGAUGUGUUUUUCAAGUAAUACAAAAGUAGCACACUCAUCAUAUAUGGACAAAUUUAUUGAGUUUGCACUUGAAGGAUAACAAGAGUGUUUUUCUUCCCAAAAUGAAAUUGUAUGGUGAUAUGUUUGACUCUCUUACAAGUAUGAUUUGUUGGCACACUGUGUUACUGAAAUUAAUUACUCAUGAAUAGAGCUAUGAACAUAUGAGAUUGGAAAUCUAAGUUAUGUUGGAAGGAAUGAGGAAUUUUUCAGACCCUUCAGAAAUGGAAACCUGAACAUCUUUAGAACUAAUAGUUCUGUCAUUAUUAGUUGUAUUUCCCAAAUUCUGAGUACUCAAGUUGCUAUCACUUGUCUUCUGCUGCUCGUCAAACAUCAUUUUCAGCUGCUUACCUUGCUCCUCAAUCCUCAACUGUAAUUUUCUCUGAAUCUGGAAAAAGUGAAGUCAAUUGAAAGAAAAUUUGAAGUCAGAACAUUGCCAAGGAGUUCUGAUUUUCACAUCUUUGAUGGUUAACUUUAUCUCGCAAACAUUUGAUAUUAACUACAUCGAUAUUGUAUAUUAUCAUGUUCAUUUACUCUUAACUACUUGUGAAACAAAGUUAAUUUUAUUUACAAUGUAAUCAACCACAUAUUCGGAUGAACAUGGAGAACUCAGCAAAAUGUUCAAUUUUUUUCAUUGUGAAGAAAACAUAAGCAUGAAGUAGCAUGUAUGAACCUGAAAGGUUUGGAGAACAUGGAGAUAUAUUAGCCAAAAAGUAAAUUAUAUAUAGCAAGGAUAUACCUCUAGUUGUUCAUGAAGGCGUCUCUGAACAUCUAGCUGCAACUGAAGUGCCUCUCUAAUUUGCAAUCCACUGCCAAUGAAGAGCAAGAAAUGUAGUUGAUUAGAGUCACAGCAUCUUAUGAAAAUACUAAAAGAACCGUGAAUCUAUUUGAAUUGUGGAAUGGUAACAGGGGCUUAGGCAAAAGGAAGUAGAGUUACGUUUUGGCAUCAAGAUGCACAUUCUCUACAUUGAUUCUUUUCUCAGAUUUCCCUGAAACAUGAACACGUAGUUUGAAAAUCAAUAAUAACCAUAAGGGCAUUGAAGAUCAUGAAUACAGUGGAGGUCAUUUUCACAACAACAUUUAUUCAAUGGUUUUGGUAAUCUCAUGAAUCAUUCUCAUCCAGCUGAGAAAUAAAUAACCUCAAUUUGAGAUUUAAUAAUUCAAGUUUUCUACCAUGCAUGAAAAAACAUACAAGUUUUUUGGUAGUUUCAACCUCCUACACCUUGAGGCAUAUUUUACUCUUUCAGCUUUAGCUGGCUAAGUGUGAAGACAUUAAAAACUAAACAAUUUGAAUUAGUUUAUAACCACAUUCUCUUUCUAGACAAACGCUAUAUGCUAAUAAAUGAAAGUUUCUUGACUAUUGGCGAAUUCAUUAUCAUAAAGAAGGUUAGUGGAAAGGUGGGACAAUCAAUGUCUAUAAAGUCUCUUUCAUGAUGGAGUCAUGAAUCUAUUCCCAUAUAAAGGGGGUCAUGAGAAGGAGAUAGAUCAUUCCAACAAAAAACAAGAGAAGAGAGAUAGCGUGAGUGAGUCUCUUUUUAAUGAGUUUGUUGAGUGAAUCAUAUUUAAUGUAAUGCAAGUGUUUGUGAAGAUUUCGUGUACAUAGGCAAGAGAUGUUGAACCACAUUAAUAGUUCUGUUUUCUAUCUGACAAUUUUUGGGUGUGUGGGUGAUUUCUUUGUGUGUACACAAUUAUUAGAUUUAUGAUGUGAAUGCUAUCAAAUUCGAGCACCAAAAUAUAUUUGGCAUGCUAUAGAAACUACACUGCUACAGUGCCAAUAAAUUACCUUGAGUUGAUUGUGGCAUGUAUUUGGCAAUUCUAUAUUUCUGCAAAUGACUUUUAACAUGGAAGAUGGUCAAUCCAUCUGAUUCCAUCAGCCUUAAUAUAGCUUUUGGCGUUGCUUCUACAACCAAGUAGACAAGAACAAUAUCAGAUGUUGAAUAUUUGUUUUAUGCAACGAAAAAUUUAGCAACUUAAUUAGUUUAUAUUUGGUUUCUACUUUCAGAAACUGUCUUGUUCUCAAAAUGCACUUAAACAAGGUUACUCUUACGGCUGGAUGAAGAGGUUAAACUAGAUGAAAACAAAAAGUUGAGGAAACAUCUCCCAGUUGUUCCCAUUUUUUAGCUUCUUAAACACCUGUUUUGGAAAUGGUUUUCAAAACAUGAUAGAGUAGUAUGAAACUAUUUUAGAAAAUAGUUUUCAAAAUAAAAAGGGAAUCAAUACAAGCCCUUACUCUCAGCACCUCCAAGGCGAUUCACACACUCAACAAACUGCUCGUGAAGUUCCUGAGUCCAUCUUAUUCUUGUUUUACUUACUGGUCCAUUUGAAGUAGAGUUUCCAGAAGAAGUUAACAAGCUACCUGCUGAGAGUGGUGGUGACAGCAUCUCUUGCUGAGAAGAGAAGCUAAUCUGUGCAGCAGGUAAAUUGUAUGAGCCACAAGAAUCCUGCAGGGUAGAAAAGAAGCAAUAACAGCAUAAGCCAAUUGGACAAUAGAGAAAACUAUUUAUGGAGUUGGCAAAAAACUUACUGUUUGAUCCUGAUUUCCUUUAGAAGGAAUUGAAGGGCUUGCAGCAUCAUCAAUGAACAACUUGAGUUGUUCAAUUGGAAGAAAACUGCUGCCAGGGAAAUUCCCACAUGGGAUUUUAUUAGAUUUUUCAGGAGAUCUAACACAUUGAUCACCAUUCAAAUGGGAUAAGAGCAUUGCUUGCAAGGGAUUUGACAACUCGAAGUUUGGAGCAGGUUGGUUUGCCAAUGAAGCCAAGAAAAGGUUUUGCCUGGGAGAUUGAUACAAAGGGAAUUCCACAUCACUGAUCUUAGAGAAUUGAGAUAUCAGAGAGGGGUUACCAACUAAUCUAUCAUAUUGUGGGAAACCCAUGCAGAUUUCUGUUGCAUAAAAGGCUGAAGCUGGUGACUCAAAACGGCUGAUAAUGCUGCUAGAUGAUUUGGUUUGGCCUAUGUGUGGUUCCUGUUCCACUCCUUCACCACUCACCAUAGCAAGUGGCUGAUUGAAAGUUCCCAUAUUUGAAGCCUGUAUAAUAUCAAAAUAUUGACUAGAACAAUUGCUAAACUCUGAACUCAAAUCCCCAUUUAGAGCAUAGCUUUGUUGAAUCCGUCCAACACAGUCAAUCUUGUACUCGUUCAUUUAUAGACACCCCAAAUGUCCCCACAAGAUUUGAACAACGAUGGCAAGAAGAGUUGGUCAAUAACAGAUCAAAUUUCUGAAGUAGCAUACAUGAAUCUAUGAAAGGUUCAUCCUUAUUAAGGAGCACCCUAUAGAAUGGUGAAGGGAGGAAGAAAACAAGAACUAGAAAAUGAACAAGAAGAUUGGAAAGGUAAGAAUGGUUAGGCUAAAUUCUAGCCUUAUGGCAUAAAGUGCUGUCAUAUAUUCCUGAAGGCUUCAGGAAUAAGAUUUGAAUCUAAUUUGUCCAAAUGCUACCAUGCAAGGUCACUAUUUGUUAUUUCUUUGUUUUUGUUUUGUUUGAGACUGCAAAAUCCUCUACAGAAAACAAUUUUGUUUGAGCCAAAGUAUUAUACAUGACAAACUCUUUUAACUGUUACCUACACCUGUUGGUCUAUUGAGUUUGUGGUUUUCAUUAUUUAUUAUAACCAUUAGGAUUGAAACCAUCCUAUGUUGACACAACCGAAGUACAGAACACUGAAAACAACACAGCUCGAUAAGCAAAUAAAAUAGUUUUGUCUAAUGUUGUCUUCAAGUGAAUAUAAAAUAAAAUGCAAGAGAAUCAGAAGAAAGAUGAAAGCUAAAAGCAACCAAACUUGAACAAGUCACAAACAGAGGUUUAAAACCGCCCCAAACUAUUACUGAAUAGUUUAACAUCUUAAAAUUGUAGAAUAUUGUUAUUGGCAUCUAUAGUGUGAUAAUAAAAUGUUAGAUAAAGAUACUCGCAUAAAUUCACAAGUUAAAGAGCAACAACUAUUCUUAUAAUGGAUUCGGAAGAAAUAACUUUAGCCACCCACAAGAGUAAUAAAUAUGAACAUGUAGAUAGCCAAAUCUUCCUUUCCGAAAAGAGAAAAUAUAUAUUAGACUCCAAAACCUGUCCCAUUGUAUGAAACUGCAUUUUGCAAAGUGGGGUAUCAGAAAUUUCUGAAAAGUGUAACUAACUUCUUAUAAUCUUAAAAGCAGAACAGAAUUUCAACUGGAGAAUUCCCAACAUUGAUGAGUAACCUUGAUGGUCUUUCCAUUAUCAAAAGGUAAAACAAUAUUCAGUGUAUUCAUCAGUUCUAUCACUUCCUUCUUUCCAUUGAUUUAGUUUGGUCAAAAUGCAUGAAGUACCUUUUCACUGUAAGUCAAUUUGAUUCAUAGGAUGAUUUAUAACGAGUUGAGUUGUCAAUUUGAUUCAUAGGAUGAUUUAUAACGAGUUGAGUUGUCAAUUUUUUAAUGGCUCAACUUUACUCUUAUAAUGAAGAAAAUAAUACAGGGAAAAAUAUAAAGAGAAUUAUAGCCAUUCAUUAAAAAUUAAUGGUGGAGAUUCUAAUUACUUCAUAAUUUUAUAUUAAUCUUAAUUGUUAAUAUUUUAAUUAAUACUUGUAGAGAAAAUAGUGCAUGCAGUGAUGUUGUAAACAAUUUUAUAUCAUUGUUUAGUUUAAUAGAAUGUUUGGUUUAGGAAAGAAAAGUAUAAAAUGAGAUUACUUUUUAGGUUGUUUAUUAAUAAAAAAAGAAAAAAAAAUAUCCACUUGUUUGGUAAUUUGAAAUGGGGAAAAAGUAUAUAUAUAUAAUGACAUAAAUAUCUUUAAUAAAAAAUAAUAUAUCAUAUAAACUAUAAUAUUUUUGUAACAUUGUUAGAGAAAAAAUUUUCUUACUGAUAAUAGUCUCACAUAGUUUAGGAGUUGAGUCAAGGUCAAUGACAAUUUAAAUACAUUUUUGUGUUAAAGCAUCUUUUAAAAAUAAAAUUUGAUUAAUCACUUUCAAAGUUAAUAAUAUAUUAAAUAUGAUGAUUGACUUUAACAAUUUUAUUUCAAUAAACUUGAGGUUGAAAUAUUAAACAUAAAAAAAAAUAUAAUAAAUCCAAUAUCACCUAGAAAUCGAAACUAAAGACAAUUUAAAUAAAUAUUAUGAAAAGUGAAUCAUGCUAAUAAAAAAAAUAUAAAGAUUAUUUUUUUUUUCCUUUCUUUCUUGUUUCAUCUUUCCUCAAUCCAUCAAAGUAACCAAAGUAUAAUGUAAUAUGUAGUAUGAUUUCAUAUUGAUGGUAGAAUACACAAAUAUUACUUAUCAAUUAAAUUCUUAAUUAUAAUUACAUAUCAAUCAGUUCACCUGUAUUCUAGGUUGUAGAUGAGUAACUAAAUUCAAAUAAUAUUUAGAUGAGAAUGCUCCUAAAGUUACAAAAACUAUAAAUAAAAAUGUAAGGUUUUUUUUAUGGACAAGAAAAAAUAAAUAAUUGUAACCUAGUUAAGGUUUUUUUUUAAAUAACUGUGACCUAAUUAAGAAAAAACAGAAUAUUUUAGGAAUGUAAAGAAAAAACAAUUGCGAAAGACCAAACAAAUUAAUAAAGACAAAAUAAGUUGGAUAAACAGCAUUUUCAUAGGGAUCAAAUUCUAUGUUGCAAAACAUUAGGAACCCUCAUAACAAGUCAUUGGUUCUGCUUUGGAUAACCCGAAUGAAUUAAUCACCCUAGUGGAUGUGGAUUAUGAAAACCAAUUAAAUAUAAAAAACAAUAGUACUGGUAUUGAUGGUUGGUUCUUUGAUUUUUCUUAUGUAAAGUUUCAUAUUCAAAUUAAUUAUUACAUGAAAAAUGAACUUAUAUUAUAGAGAUAAUUAUGAUUACUUCUAACAUAAAUUCUUGACUGUUUAGUGUAUUCACGCACACAAAUCAAUUCUAAUUAUGAAAUGAGUUAUUAAUAUGAAAAUUUAAUUCUAAUAAAAAAUAAUUUCCCAUGUAGUUGAUUCAAAAAAGUGUACAAUAUUAAAUACGAAACUAUGUGUUAAAUAUAUUUAUCAUAUAAUAAAUAAUAUAGGAGUAAUCACCUACUGUGUACACCACUAUAUCAACCCAAUUGAAAGAAUGAUUAAGAACUAAGAAAUAAUAUUUAAAUUUGAUCAUAACUAUAAGAGUAUGAAGUACACAAGUGGUUUUAUUUUAUAAAAUACCAUUAGUACAUAUUUUAAAGUAAAUAAAAAAUAUGUUUUAAAAAAUAUUUAUAAAUAUAUUCAAAAAAAUUUAUUUUUCAUUUAUUUUAAAUUUGAUUUCUUUACAUUCCUAAAAUAUUAUGUAUUUUCUUAAAAAAAAAUUGGUGAUUAGUUAUUUUCUUCUAUAAUCAUCAGGGAGGAUGUAAGAUUUGACUAGACUAAGAUGGACUAAUAUAAAAUCUUAAUCUAUGUUGAAGAUUUGGUGAUUCUAUCUAUUUAUAUUGAAAGAUGAUAGAAAUUGUUAAUUUAGAAACUACCUUCAAGUUAGGAAAGUUAAUCAUUUAUAUUUAUUCAAUUAUUUUAGUUCUGAUGUGUUAGAUAUAUGUUAUAUGUUGAUGAGUUAAUUUGAUAUUGCUUGAGAUUGAAAUAUUAAAGGUUAUAUUAGAAAGCCAUUCACUUCUAUCAUGUUAAUUUAAAAUAAAUUGAGAGUUUGGAAUAGUUGUGGUUUAGAUGUUUUUCAAGCUAAUUGAUGUGGAAUAUUAGUUUAGUGUAACGUUUUAAAUUUGUUAGAGAUCUUGAAAAUAAAAUUUUGCAUAUUUUGCUUUAUUGUCAAGUUGUUACGUGAACAAUAUUCUAACGAUGAUAAUCAUUUGUUAGAAUGAAUACUCUCACUUAAAUUUCAUCAUGGUCACUCAAGCAACAUUAUUUUUUUCUUAAAUUAUUAUUUGAUGUUUGAACAAAAGAGAUGUCAAAACAAAUUUAUCUCUUUUAUAUUUCUCAUUGAUCAAACAAUAAGUGAUCGUGGUGAAUGAUGAAUUAUUAGAGUUUCGAAAAGUAUUCUAAAAGUUUGUAACUUAUGGAACAAAUAGAAUUACUCAAAUUAUGAUGUAGCACUUGAGGGAGAGAGUUAUUGUUAACUGUCUCUCCUUUAAUGGUUUGAUUAUUCAAGUACAAGUGAACGUUCAAACAAGAGAAAGAUUAUAUCAAUUAUCUAUCUUUUAGAAUUAUUAUUGCUCAAACCAUAUAUCAUGUUAUUCAAAUUAUAAUUACACAAAAUUAUUAUUAUUUUAUUAUUUAAAAUUCGUACAUUAUAUUGUGUUAUAAUUGUAUUUGAAGUGACGUUGAAGGGGACUAGUCAUUUUUCAUAUUUAGUCUUUUUCAUAUUAUUUAUGUACUUUGGAGACAUAAGGUUUUAAUAUAUUAUAUAAAAAUACUAUAUAUAAUAAUAAUAAUUGUUAAUAUAUAUAUAUAGUAUAGAUAUGUAUAUUUGUUUUUGUUAUGAGGAAUUGAUGAUAGAUUGUAAAUGUCAUUAUCGGAAGUGGGGAAUCAAAUUAAUGGUUUAAGCAUUGCAAUUAAAGGGUGGAAAGCAAGAUUCAACCUCAGAAACGAAUAACAUUUUACGUGGAUUUAAGACCUGAAAUUCAGUCAAAAAAGUGCCCCAACUUUACCCUUCAAACAUUCUACCUAAUACAUCAUUCAUGGGCACAAAUCUUAAUCGAUCAACAAAUCCCACAUCAAAGGUCCAAGAAUAAAACUGAAAAAUGUUUCAUUCAAUAAUAAUCACAACUUUUUUUUAUCCCAUUUCACUAUAGAUUAGAUUAAAGCAUUUCAUUAUAUAUAAAUGGAUGCAAAUUCUACAUUAUAAGUCGAUUUUAUAAGAUUGAAUUAGACUUAAAGUCCACAUCUUAAUAUAAUAUCAUAAUCAUUUUAAAUUUAUCUUAACGAGAGUUUGUUGGAUUUAUCGUGUUAUUUUCACCUCACCUCCUAUCGAACCACCUAUGAAUGCAUAGUGCACCCUUUAAAAAUGUGUUGGUCCUCGACAAUAAUAAUGUCAGAAAGUUGUUAGGGAUUAUGAGAUGUGUGCUUAAUUCUUUAAGCGAAUAAACUUAAAUAAAUUUUUCCUAAUUUCAUUUUCUUGACCAUUCAAACAAAUAAUCAAUUUUAUAAUUCCUGAUAUUAACUCCAAUUAGGUGUUAUUCUCGUAAAAUAUUUUUCAAUGUGAAUAAAAAUCCAAUAAACGAGUAAUUGAUGUUUGGCAAGUGGACGUAUAGCAUGAACUUGUACAAGUGGGUUGUGAAUUAAUUAUUUGACAUUUUGACUUCACAUGUUAUAACAUAUACCUUUAUUAAUAUUAGUCAUUUUUGUUUCCUAGAUACAAAUCACCUAUCCCCUCUAUUCUUUUUAAUUUUUUUAUACCCUUCUUUUAGUCAAUCUCUAAUGAAUCUUAUGAUCCCUUGCUUCCAUUUUCUAAUUUCCUUAUUAUUAUUUUCUCAUCACUUCUUUUCCCAAAGUCUAACAGCUUUUAUAUAACUUAACUUUAAUAAAGCCUUCAAAGGACAAUUCUUUCACAUAAGAAUAAGAAAGUGUUUGGAAGGUUGAAUUGUUUGGUUAGUUUGAAAUCAACGUUAUGUUUGAUUUGGAGUGACAUCGAUAGAUCAUAUCAAUCUUGUUUCAUAUUUUCUGCAUUUUAAACUGUGUAAUGUUCCAACUUAUAUUAAUGUCUUUUGGAGAAGUGUCUAGAUUGAAGUUAUUGGUGAUAUCUGGAGGCAUAAGAAUAAAUUCAUCUUUAAAUUUUAAAGGUGGAGUGAUAAAUCAUUCUGAAAUUUUUUCUUUGGUCCAACUAAAGGUCUAGUCUUAGAUUACAUAAAGUUGUGCAUGCUUGUUUUUUCUAAUCGGAUUGGUGUUUAUACUCGUUGACAUGAUUGUUUGUUAUUAAAAGCCCUUGACUUUAUAAACUUUUAGUUUGAGUAGGACGCUUGUGUGGUAUUAUUAUGUUUCUUUAUUUAGUAGCUUAAAUUUAGUUGAGCGGAACAAUCGAUUGUUUUCAGUUUGAUUUAUAAUAGGGUUGGACCACCCUUAAAGGUUCAUAUCUAUUUAUUCUUUCUUACUUAUUAAAAAAAAAAAGUGUUUAGAAAUUAAGAUGAACUUAAAGUUCCAUAUUAGAUAAAAAGACCUAACAUAAAAAAAUCAUUUUUAAUUUUAGGUUUAAUUAAACUUUCAAUAUUUUAUAAAUUUAGAGAUUUUUAAUUCAGUUUUAUUAAAAAAAAUGUGCUUUAUGGAGUGUUUAAAUUCUUUUUAUUUUUAUUUUUUAUCUUUCUAUUUUUUAUUUAUUGAUUAAAACUUUUUUUUUUGUAAUAGUAAUUUGACUAGAGAAUGAAUUGAAAUUGAAAUUUAUUAAGAAGUGAAAGUCUAAUUCAACUUUAUAAAAUUGGUUCAUGAGAUGAGUUGAGGUUUAUAUGCAGUUAUAUACUAAAACAUAUCUUUAUUUCUGGUCGAUGUGGGAUUUUUAACACAUACAAUUCUAAAUGACUCUUAAUACCAUAUUAAGAUGUGAACUUUAAACCUAACUCAACCUUAAGAAAGAUUAAGUGAGAUUUGUACUCACUUUUAUACUAUGAAAUGUCUUUAUUUAUAGUGAUGUUAGAUCUCCAAUUAAAUAAAGAAAAAAAUAGAAAUAGUAAUUAUAUUAUCGUGUUGAUGAUAAUAUUAAAUAGUAAAAUAUUUAAAUGUAGAUAAUAAAUAUUUUAAACAUACUGUAUAAAGAAAAGUUUUAAUAUAAAUUUAAUUGAAAAUAUGUAAACUUAUAAAAUAAUUAAAAGAAAGAAAGGAGUAGAAAAGAAUAAAGAAUUGAGUGAUGUUAUUUAAAGAGAAAAAGAAGAAGAGUUGAAGGAUGGAGAUAUGGAGGUUCGAUAUGUUUGGAUUCCUCUCUGUGCUUUAUUUUAAUCCAAGAAAAUGUUGGUGAGACUAUACGUGCACGCUGCACCAAUGCGUAACCACAUUCAAACAAACGACCACAUUAUCUCAUUCAACUUCCUCUUCCUUCUUCCUUCUUCAACUUUUCCAUAUCUGGAAACACAUAUUUUACACUCCCACUUCUCACCAUCAAUUUUAAUUCAUACAUAUUUUUUUAAGAGGAAAAAUAAGAGUAAAGGAUGUUGAGAAUCGACUUCAACUCAAGAUAAAAUUAUUUAAUAGUAUAUAAGUGAAUGCAAAUUUCAUUUUAUAGUCAGUUUUAUAAAGAAGUGCAAAUCUUUAAUUUGUCUGUAUUUGCUCGCUUUAGUGGGAUGUCGGAAAAAGUUUCUGUCAGAUUAUGUCAGGAGCUACUUUGUUUCUUAGAUGUUUGAAAGUUGUUAUGCAAUUAGGUUGCUCAUACUCAACUCAAGAUAAUAAUAUUUAAUAGCAUAUAAGUGAGUGCAAACCUCAUUUUAUAGUCAGUUUUAUAAGGUUAAAUUAAACUUACAAUCUACUCAUUAAUAUGAUAUCAGAGUUAUUAAUUAGAUUUAUUCUAACGAGAGUUGAUUAAUCUUAUCACGUGAAGUAAUAAUCAAAUCUGAAAUAUACAAAGUAAGAGUCAACCUAUUUUAUAGAUUAAUAAUUAAAAAACAUAAUAAACUCUAAGAUAAACUAGUUACAUGAUCAUGAUCACAUAUUUUAAUUUUAAUGACAACUUUUUAUGUGUGUUUUCUAAACAUGUACAUGAAUGAAGAAAACAAAAGUGUGUUCCAAUAAAAAAAAAAGGAAGAUAAGUUUUGUCUGACACGCAAAUUAAGAUGAAGUUGAAUAAUAGAAGAUCUUGGUAGGUGCAUAAUCUAGACAGUUGAAUCAGCAACAUAAAAUUGAAUUGACCCCCUACAACCUCCAAGGGGCGUUUUUAGAGUUCCCUUACCAUACAUACCCUUUAUACUUAGGUUUUUCCUUCCAUGAAGUGAUGAGAAAGAAUAACAUUAUCCAAAACUAAAAUUAUUCGUCUGCACCCAAAACGAAUACUAAUUAAUUACCAAUCCUCAUAUGAAUAUGACACACAAGUUUAUAUUUUUCUAAUUUUAACCAAUUUUAUGCAACAAUAGUAAAAGCCAAACAUUUUUUGUGGCCAAAAUAAUUUGGAUUGUAAUAUCAUGCAUGGGUGUGUAUGGGGUAGUAAAUUGAUUAGUAGGAAAUGAUUAGAGUCAUACUACUUUUCAAUUGUCAAUUUUAUUAUGGAAUCAUUUUAUUUUAUAUAUAUAUAUAUAUAUAUUUAUAUAUGAAUGAAAGAGAACAUUAUAUAAUAGUCCUUCUCAUAAUUUUUUAUUGGAUUAAAUAUAAUUUUUUUUAUGUAUUUUGCAAAAUUAGUUUUUAUUAUAAUUUAAAUUUUAAAUAUAUUAAAUACUUAUAAUAAGAAAAUUAUUAGAAUAAGUUAUUAUCAAAUUUUUUUAUGAACACACAAAUUUUUAAGAUGCAGUACAUCCAUUAAAAUGUUAAAAUAUUUUAUGUUUACAUAAAUAUUAUAAUACAGUUUAAGUAACACAUUAAUAAGGUUGUUAUAAUAUUAUAAUAGAGUUUAACUUCUAAUGGAAGUGUGAACUAAAGAGAAAAAAAUUGAAGUGUAAACUGGUGGUGUAGUAUAACCCAACCUUCCUAAAGAAUCAUACGUUUAGUUGGUCUAAAUAGAAAACUACAAAUGUAAGCUGAAUACACAAUGUCAGACCAAAGGGAAAACUGCAGAAAUAUAAAUACAGGUAUUGGGACAAAAGCAAUGGCAGAAAUGAGGUUAGGAACCCACUUUACACCCUCCCAAUAUGUUAUAAAGAAGGCACUACUGAAUGCUACCAUCAUGCUAACUAUUGAGAUAAACAGUGCCAGAAGUCCAGACAUAAGCUUUAAGGGCAGUGAUGUCAGAAAAUCAUCUUCAGCAUAUCGAGAGAUAAGGAUAGACAAGAAAAUUAGGAUCGAAGUUGAUGAUGAGAUCAAUGCAAUGGAAUCUGAUAAUGCAAAUACCAAGAAUGCUGGUUUCUGCAAGUAAUUGGGACUUCCACCCUUAUCAUCAUUGGUACCACCUGGAACACUGAAUGCAGCAGUGAAAACUCCUGUAGUAAUGAGAGUUGAAACAACCAUGCAUGACUUCGCAGUUCUCUUCAUCCAAGACUCUUCUUUCUCCACCAGUUCUUCAUGCUCCACCGUGAAUACCUGCCGAGGAGUAAUGCCGAUACAAUUUGGUUCCUCUAUGGAUGAUAGUGGCAUCAUCUUCUUCACCUCCUGUCACAUCAAGAUACUCAUAAUUCACUCGUAAACUCAUGAUGCCAAAUGUUAGUAUUUUAAUUAGAUUUCAGUUAUAACCAUAAAUUAUACCUCAAACCAUGACAACUCAAGCAUCAUUUGAAGAGCUGCUCCAGAAACCAUAUUAAGCUGUUCUGGGGGUGCUUGUUUUGCAGCAUAAUGAAGUAAAUUGUUCCCUUGAUCAUCUUUAAAGGUUAGAAUGAACUCUUUGAUAGGGCCUAUUUCAUGUAUCAAAUUGAAGAUACUGGCAUGACGAUGCAAAACUGCAAUGUGGAUUAUACUUCGAUCCUUGGCAUCUAGUUCCCAUAUCAAAUCAGGGUAAGUGCUCAAGAUUACGGAUAGAAAUUCAAAAUUUCCAACUUCUGCAGCAAUAAAUAUUACUUUAGACGGUUCCGUGAGGAUAUUCAUCAUCAUUUGCUCAUCCAGGGAAACAACUAUAUCCCACAUUCGCUUUACAAGUUUCAGAAUAGGAGUGUCCUUAUCUGAGAAUUAUAGAAAAAAAAAACAACAUCAUUUCGAGGUUAUUCGAUCUGAGAUAUCUAGUUACUUACUUGUAGAUCACUGAAUUAUGUUUAGCUCUUAACUCUUCAACAUAAAGUGUUGGCCAAAGCAAGAAUGAGAAAAAAAUUAUGUUAUACCCAAUGAUACUGACAAUGAAUGGAAGUUAAUAGUAUGUGACUUACAGAAAGGUAGGAGGUGUUUUCUACAUCGUGGACUUUGGCAACCACAACCUGGAGUUCGAGCCAAGACAUGCAAACCUGUCAAGUUGUCCUCACCUCUAGCAUAGGCUAGCGUGUCCUUCUCCUUUAGCAUUUCCAGGGCCAAAUCUGCAACAUAUUCCAACUUCUGUGGAUUGCAAAUUCUAAUGAUGCCAUCAAAUUAACAUUAUAUAUUCAUCGUGAUCAAGUGGGAGAUUGACAUAUCCUAAAAAUUCUAAUGGAUGGUAUCUUAUGUAAAUGAGUGCAUAUUUUAUAAAGGGUUAACACCUAUAUCUGUACCAAAAAGAAUCUCUUGUUUUGUCAAAAAGCUCUUUUUUAGUAAAAACUAAGUUACAAGAAUCUUGCAUGACAAAACUCCUUAUAAGGAUGAAGAGGUUUACUUGUAAAACCUUACCUUCCAUUAUUUUUGCUUCAUUCCUCGUUUAUCAUCCAAGUUAACUUGUAUCAAUCUAACUAUUGGAUAGUCUUUUAACUUUCCUCUCCAAUAUGAAUAAAUGGCAUGCAAGGUUUUGAAAAACGGUUUGCAACUGCAAUUGUAACUGUUAAUGUGUGCAUGCAAGAUUUUUUAUCAACAACAAAUGCUUACCGUAGAGGCCACAGUUUAUAGAAAGAAAGAAAAUUGAAGUCCAAUCCACCUCUUCAAAUAUUUCUUUGGUUUUAGGAAACAGAUGCCAUGCCAUUUCACUUCUUCCCUGUAAAACAGCCAAGUGAAGAGGAGUGAGUACUCCUCCACCCCUGAUUGUUGGCAAGGAUCCAUUUUUUUUCUCCAUCAUCUCAGCAAUCUGCACAUUCCCUACUGCUGCAGCAAAGCAGAAUGCAGUGUUACCCUUGAAGUCUAGCAAUUCCAAUUCAUCAGGCUGCAUUAAAUUUAGCAGCUCCUCUACAAAGUGAACAUGGUUUGCUCCCACUGCUAUGUGGAGAACUGUUGCCCAACCCUUUGUUAUGGCAGAUGUAAGCAGCUCCCAAUCUUGGUCCAAGAUUUUCCUAGCUUCUUUCCAGUCACCUUUCAAUGCUGCUUUGUGAAGGGGAACACAUUGGCUGAGGUAUCUUCCCUUUGCCUCUUCUGCAAGAAGUUAAUUUGUGGAAAUCUCUUUAGGGUCUCAACAUUUGACAUUGAGUGAUUUAAAUGUUGGAGUACUGAGUAAUGUUGUUCUUGGAAUGCUUACUGAUCAACGAAUUUGUGGAAAAAGAUAAAUUUCUUGACUUUUGAGGAGUUGAAAAUUGCAGUGAACUGAAGGAGUUUCACUUAGUAGGCUUUUCAAUGCAAUUGAAGCACCUCUCACUCUGACUAACAGAUUUGUGAAGAGGGGCAAAAUUUUAAAGAAAAAAAUAGAUUCUCUUGUGAAGUUCUCUCACAGUGUACUCUCUUGUUUACAAGAGAACUAUACUUGUUCUGAGGCUGUGACUAAAGUGAGGGGAUCUUGUCAUAUUUCAAUCAGAUAUAAUUUUGCAUCAGUUAUAUUUCUUUAUUUUAAAUCUAAUAGUUAAGGUUAAUUUGUGAAUGAAAAGUUACUUAGUAAAACCAGUAUAAUCAUAAGAAAAUAAAAAUUAGAAGGAAGAAUANNNNNNNNNNNNNNNNNNNNNNNNNNNNNNNNNNNNNNNNNNNNNNNNNNNNNNNNNNNNNNNNNNNNNNNNNNNNNNNNNNNNNNNNNNNNNNNNNNNNGAUAUCACAUUAAUUACGUAUAUUAAAUUUAUAUUAACUAAAAAUUAGUUUAUAUAUGUUAUAUAAAUUAAAAUUGAAAUAAUGUAUAAUUUUUAAAUAUGUAUAAAUAUAAAUAAUUUAAUCAUAUAUUAUUGUUUAAUUUUAAAAAAAUAAAGAUACAAAAGUAUAAUUUAAGGGAUUAAUGAUAAAAAAUAUUUUAUAUAUAAAAUUAUUAACGCGAUAAUAUUUGGUGUACCGAUAUAUUUUAUCUGUCCUUAUAUACAAAUAAAAAUAACUAUGUUUUUUUCAAAUGCUUAUUCAAUAAUUGUUUUAAAAUAAUUAAUAAUAAAUUUUUAUAACAAAAUUAAAUAUAAUUUUUAAUAAAUAAAUUAUAUAAAAAAAGUUAAAUAAUUUAUUAUGUAAUAUAUUUUAUAUACAAUCACUUUGUUUCAUCUCAUCAUGCUGUCAUCUUUUUCAGCACACUGACAUUAUAUUAUUUAUUUUAGGUUUAAUAGGUUUUUUUUUUCAAUAUUUGUGGAGUUUAUUCAAUGUGAUUUCUCAAUUUAAUCUUAAUCUUAUUUUUAAAAAAAAAGUUAAUAUGGUCUCUUUCCUUAAUUUGAUGUUAACACCGUUAAUAGGUGAUGACCUCAAGUAAAUACUAUUUCAUGCUUCAUAUUAUUUUUAUUACAGUACUAUUCUAUUAUUAUUGUAUAAGAGAGUAGAAAAAUGAAAGAGAAAAGUGACUGUAAAUAUAUAUAUUAAAAUAAUCUAUAUGGUCAUAUUUAUUGUACGAGAACAAAUUAUAUUUUCCUUCCCAUCUUUCUAUUUUUUUUUUCAUUACAUUACUUAUACUAUAUUAAAUAAUAUUGGAAUUAAUGAGAUAGUAUUUAUUAAUAUACUAAAUAACAUAAAUUUUAUUAUAUUAAAAUAAAGAAUAUAAAAUCAGUCAUGGGAAAUGGAAAGCAGUGAAAGAUAAAUGUGAAUGCAUGUUUCUAUUUAUAGUAUGAGUGUGUGUGUGUAUGUUAAACAUUUUUGUGAAUGAAAAAAAAAAUUGAAGAAGGGAGAAAGAGCUUACGAGUGGACACUAGAUGAAGGAGAGGUCUCCUAAACUGUGCUGAAGCAACCCUCUGAAGUACUUCUUCUGGGAAAGCUGCAGAGUCUGUUGUAGCCAUUUCUCUGUCAAGAAAACAUGCAUCAUAUACGAUUCUUCACCAUCUACUCAAGAACAACAACAUGCAUCAGAGUUCCAAUCAUAACUCAAACUAAUAUAAUUACACUCUACUUCAAAUUUAAGCCUAAUUACAACCAUUUCUACUGUAAAAUGAUCUUUUGCUGAAUUUAACAGUUCUGUAUAAAUUAAUUUACACACUUGGUUAUAUAAAAUUGAAAUAACAGUGAAACCAACAUGUUAAAACAUGGUAUAUAAUCACACUUUGCACAAAAUCUCUUACAGUAUUACAUAAUUGUUAUCAACAGAUUGUGAUUGGUUCCACUAAAAAAUUGCACACACUCAUUUUGACAUGGUCAUAUCAUUUAUGGUCAACAAUCAUUUUUUAACACAAUUUGGAGUGCCUAAUGGUCCCAGAGAGGUAGAUAACAGAGUAAAUAAGAGUCUUAAUUGAAAUAAGUUUUAAAGAUUAUACCUUUAAACAAUUAAAGUGACCUCUGGUAUCUGUAAUAUGACAGACAAUAAUCCUAACAAUGGAGAUUACCAUUUUUCUUACCAUUUUCUUAUAUAUCAUUUUGUUAGUGAAGAAAGCAACAGAGCAGAAGCAGCAUUAAACCCUCAUGAAGGUGUCUUCAUAAGAGAUUUUUCUUUCUAAUUCUUCAAAUUUUGUUUUAUAAUCUUAUGCCAUGGUCAUAGCAAAACAGGUAGGAACAGAAAGAAACACAAAUACAGAAAAAGAGUGAGGAGUAAGAUUUGAUUACCUUAGAAGAAAAAUGUUGAGGGUUUUUCCAAUUUUUCAUGCUUAGCCUGCAGCAUGGUUACUUGUUUUACUCUGAAAUUACCAACUACAUCUGGAGAAGAAGCAGAGAGAAGAGAGAAAAAGUUUGAAAAGUAGUGAAGGUUUGUGAAUGUAAGUGCAGUGAUGAGUCUCUUUAUCAAGUCAAUGAUGAAUUAUUGCUGAAUAGUACUUUGUAGUGUGGGGGCAUAAUAUUUAUGAACCCUUGAAAUAACAUUUUCUCCACAUGUGGAUCCUAGGUGGGUUUUUUUAUUUUUUAUUUUUUAUUUUUUUAUUUAAUAAACUUUAUGUUAAUUAUUAUUAUGAAAUAUGAGAUUUCAGCUACACUUAAAGUCGAUUCAACAAACAUCUAUAAUUAAGUUGACUUUAUCUUUUAAGUCAAUUUGAUUGAAACCAUUAACAUAAUUUAUCCUUUAAGUCAAUUUAAUUGAGUACAAAUAGAUACUAUUUAUAUACUUUAAUUUAACUUCACUUCUAAUUGAGAUCAAUGUUUAAAUAUAUUUUUUCAUGUUACAAAUGAAUAUUUCUACAAUAUAAGAGUAAUAAAUUUGAUUAUGAUUUUAAUACAGUAGAUUUAUGUUUAAUCUAAUUAAAAAUGUAAAAUUAAUUUUAGGCUUAGAUAUGUUUAAGGUUUCUAGGAUUUUUAGAGUUUUGGGUUUUUUUUAUGGUUUUUUAAAAGUUCUUAGGGUUAUCAUUGUUUUUAUGGUUUUUAGGGGUUUCUAAAAUUUCUAGUGUUUUAGGGUUUUUUUGGUUUUAGAGGGUUUCUAGUGCUUUUUAGGGUUUCUAGAGUUUAUAAAGUUUUUUUGGCCUUUUAGGGUUUUAAAGUUUUCAAAUAUUUUAGGGUUGUUAGUGUUUUUAGGGUUUCUGGAUUUUGAUGAUUUAUAGGAUUUUUAGGCUUUUUUAUGGUUUUUAGGGUUGAUAGGGUUUUUACAAUUUUUUUUGGGGGUGGGGAGGAGGGGGGGUUUAAGCAUGAAAAAAUUUCAAAAGGUCAUAAUUUUUUACAAAUAAGUCACAUGGAGACAUGUAAAAAAUGAAAGUUGCUCAAAACUAUGAUAAUUACUACUUGUUAAUUACUACUUGUUACUUGUUACUUGUUACUUGUUACCUGCUAAUUGAUACUUGCUACUUACAACCUACUACCUGCAACCUGCUACAUGCUAUCUGUUACCUACUACCUGCAACUUGUUACUUGUUAUCUGUUACCUGCAACCUAUUACCUGUAACCUGCUACCUGUUACCUGUAACCUGCUACCUAUUACCUGUAACCUAUUACCUACUACAUGUAACCUGCUACCUACAACCUACUAUCUGUUACCUGCUACCUGCAACCUGCUACCUACAACCUGUUACCAGCUACCUGCAACCUGCUACCUACUACAUGCAACCUACAAACUGCUACCUGCAACCUACUACUUACAACCUACUACUUGCAAUCAGCUACCUGCAAUGAACUACUUGCAAUCUGCUAUCUGUAACAUGCUACUUGCAACUUGCCGCUUGUAACCUGUUACCUACAACUUGCAUCCUGGUACCUAGUAUCUGAUACCUGCAACCUACAACCUGUUACUUGCUACCUUUAACCUGCUACCUUCUACCUUGUACCUGCUACUUGUUACCUGCAACAUACAAGCUUCUACCUACAAUCGCUACCUGCAACCUACUACCUUCUACCUGGUACCUGGUACCUGCAACCUGCUACCUGUUACCUGAAACCUACUACCUGCUACUUGCAACCUACUACAUGCUACCAGCAACCUAAAACCUGCUACCUACAACCUGCUACCUGUAACCUGUUACCUGCUACAUGUUACUUACAACCUGCUACCUACAACCUGCUACCUACAACCUGCUACCUACAACCUGCUACCUACAACCUGCUACCUGCUACCUACUACUUGUUACCUGCUACUUGCACCCGAUUACCUACUACUUGCAACCUGCAACCUACUACCUUAUAUACUACUUGUUACAUGGUACCUGCUACCUACAUGUUACUUGUUACCUACUAUUUUCAACCUGUUACUUGCAACUUGUUACGUGCAACCUGCUACCUACAACCUUCUACCUGGUACCUGCUACCAGCAACCUGUUACAUGCAACUUGUUACCUACAACAUUCUACUUGGUACCUGGUACCUGUUACCUACAACCUUCUACCUGGUACCUGGUACCUGGUACCUGCAACCUACUACCUGCUACCAGCAACCUGCUACCUGCUACCUGCAAUCUGCUACCUGCAACCUGUUACCUGCUAUCUGCUACCUGCUACCUACUACCUGCUACCUGUUACCUGCAAUCUGCUACCUGCUACCUGCUACCUACUACCUGUUACCUGCUACCUGCAACCUGUUACCUACUAUCUACAACCUACAACCUGCAACCUACUACCUUAUAUACUACUUGUUACAUGGUACGUGCUACCUGUUACCUACUAUUUUCAACCUGCUAUCAACAACCUGUUACCUACAACUUGUUACGUGCAACCUGCUACCUACAACCUUCUACCUGGUACCUGCUACCUGCUACCAACAACCUGUUACGUGCAACCUACUACCUACAACCUUCUACCUGGUACCUGGUACCUGGUACCUAGUACCUGCUACAUUGUACUGCAACCUGCUACCUACUACAUGCAAUCUGUUACCUGCAACAUGUUACCUGUUAUUUGAAUUAUAUUUAAAUAUUCUUUGUUCCAAUAGAUCCAAUAGUUCCACAUUGCUUAGGAGUAGAGGCCAAGGACAAUUUAAAUAUAAUUUUCUCUAUUAACACACAAAUGUGGGGUUAUUCCAAUACAUUUAAUAAUCUCACAUCGCUUAGGAGUAGAUGUCAAGGAUAAUUUAAAUAUAAUUUCCUCCAUUAACACACAAAUGCGGGGUUGUUCCAAUACAUUCAGUAGUCCCACAUCACUUAGGAGUAGAGGCCAAAGACAAUUUAAAUAUAAUUUCAUCAAUAAAAAGAAAAAAUAAAAAUAUUUAAGGUGGCGAGAAUAAACUUGAAGAGUUAACUUUGAAGACUAAAGAUUAAUCGAUAUCAAUUAAUCAUUUAGAAUUCAUAUCUCUCACUCAGAAUGGACCAGAAAUUUUAAAAAGGUGAUUUAUCAUAAUUGUAAACAUCCAAAAAUUCAAUUAUUCAAUGUUAUAAAAUAAUUUUGUUUCAUGAUCUUUAGGUAUUCAAAAUAUAAUAAAGUAAAAAAGAAUAUUAUAUUGAAAAAAUUUAUUUAUAAUUCUUAAUUAUUAUACUUCAUUCAUAAUAUUAUGUAACUAGAAACAAAGAAGAUAAAACAUUAAAAAUAGUACAUUAUUGUUACUAAUCACACGAAAUACUAUAAUAAGGAGAGGAUAAAAACCUGUAAGAAAAAUAUUUAUAAAAAAAUGUUAAGAUCUUACUUCUCAAAUUAAACAAACCUAAUUUUAAAAAAUAACAAAAAAAAAUUAAAGUAGAGCAUAAAAACAAAUAAAAUUUGCAGGCUGUGGGGUUCGAACCCACGCGCACUUAUGUGCAGAAGAUCUUAAGUCUUCCCCCUUAACCACUCGGGCAAACCUGCUUUUUGUAUUCCCUUAGACAUUGUUUUGUAUUAAUAUCCAUUUAUUUAAGAUUUUUUGUUUAAUAUGGCUGUGAUAAUAAAUAAUGAAUUUGGUGAGUUUUUUCAUUACAAUUUCAUUAAAUAAUAGAUAGAUAAAGAUAAUAGAUUUGUUUAUUAUAAUAAUAAAUAUGAAAUUUGGUUAAUUUUUGUUGAAUUACUUUUUUAGAAAGAAAAAAAAGGUGGAAGAAGAUAGGUUUAACUAAAUGAACUUAAGUUUUAUGUUAUUGUGGUAAUAAACAUGAAAUUUGGGUAAUUUUUGUUGAAAUGACUUGAGGAAUCAAAUUGAUGAAAACAGUUUUAAUUAAUGAACUUAAUGUAGACUUCAUAUAUCCUUGCCACUUGAUCCAAUUGCUGCAUCACUUUAGCCUUGAAGUUGGUUUGUGAAAUUUAAAUUGUGGUUCUUAAAAUUUAAACCAAUAGUUUUUUUUUUUUUAAAUGUUUACUGAUAUAAUAGUAGUGGCAUUUUUCUUCAAAUUUGACAAUAUCUUAUGUUUAAAUUUGAUAUCUUAUUUCAAUAGAAUUUUAAUUUAUUUAAAAAAAAAUGAAAUAUAACUUUUAAAUGAUCUAAAGUAACAUUAGAAAUUACAAACAUAACAUUAAAACAUAAAACUAAAAACAACCAAACAUAAGGUUAUUCCAACAUAUAAGUCGUAAUUAAACAAUAUUAAAACAAUAUUCUUACAUCUAAAUUAUACAAUAUAAUUAUGAAGAUAUUUGUUAUAAACUAUUUUUUAAUUUCAAUACAUUUAUAUUUAAAGUUUGAAUUUUGAAUUAUUGCUAAAGAGGUAUCUCUACUGUGAAAAAAGGUAUAAAUAUGUGCAAUCAACCUUUUUACUAUUUUUUUUAACAAUAAAUAUGUAACUAGGUUAGGUCUAUAGUACCUGUAGCUCUUUAUAUUAAAAUUUGUGCAUAAAUAAUCCAUUAUAUUUUCAUCUUCAAUUAAGUUAAUAUUUACCCUAUUUUUACAAAUACCUGUGGGAUAUAAUACACUUUAUCAUCCAAUAAUGACUCAGAAAAAAAGGGAUAAAACUUUUAUUCUGUACACUAAAAUUCAGAAUGAUUAAGUUAAAUUAUGUUGGUCCAAAUCCCUUUUGAUCUACCUUUAUUUAUCUCAAGAUGUGUUGGCCCAAAAAUGUGGCCCAAGUGCCAAAAUUUAGAGCCUUUUGCUUCCUGCACCGAUCAAUUGCAAUCUGUAUCCUAUCAAUUUUUGAAAUUCUAAAAUUGUGCUUUAUUUUGGAAGCCUAAAAAGGUGAAUUGUUUGUAUUCAUUAUAUAAUUUUUUUUUCUACAGACAAAUAUUAAAAAAUAGACAACUUCAUAAAAUAGUAAGUCAUUAUAUAAAAAAAAUAAACAUGGACAUAAUACAUAUGGUGAUAUUCAUUUUGUUUUAGGACUGAAAAACGAUAAAACUUUCUUAAGUUAAAAUAAUCAGACAAUAAAAAGUUUGAAAAAAGACUACAAAAAGGAAAAUUUUCCGUCACAAUUAUGGAACACAAUUAGAUAUGUUUUUACUCUCUCUCUCUCUGUGUCAAAUAAUAAUUUAAUCCAGAAAAUAUUUUAAUUAUUUAAUAAGCAAAAUAUAAUAAGUAAAUUAACUCAAGCGAAAAAGAAUUUAAUUUUAUUAAGUAUAAUAUAAAUUGAGUUUUAUAAACUAAAAAAUAUAAUUUAGAAAAAUUGAUUGGUAGUAACUUAUUCAUAAUAAAAGCAACUUUAUUACUUUUAAUGAUAAUUAGUUUUUAAAUUGUACAAAUAAUAUUUUAAAAUUAAAUAAUAUUACAAAAUUCGGUGUAUCUAUUUAAUUUGUAUUUUUUAUUUUAUGUCAUUUAAUUUUAAUUCUUAUAAUCUUAUUAUUUAUUUUCUUGUGUUCUAUAUCUAUGAUAUUUAUAAGAAACUUUUGAUCAUUUACAAAUUGGAGUGGAAACAUUAAUCAAUGAUAGUGAGUAAUUCAUAAAAGUUUGUUAAUAGUAUAAUCUUAAUAGUUAAAAUCUUGAUACAUAAUUAAAAUUUUGACAGUUAAUUAGAUGUGUCAGUUGAAAAAAUAAUUUAUAAAUUUUAUUAAUAAUAAAAAAUAUUUUAAAUAUUAAUAUUUUUUAAAGAAAUUUAAAAUAAUAUUUAAUUUAAGAUAAUAACUAAUUAUUUUAAUCAUGAUGUAUACUCAAUGGAAAUUGAAAGUUGUGACAUAGAGAAGUUUGGGAGGAAAUUGUUAGUUGAUGGUUAGUUUACAUAGAAUUGCAGCCAUCAACGUUAAGCAUUCAUCAUAAAUACACAUCUUUGUCCUUGACUUUGUUAGCACAAGGAUGUUCCCUACCAAGUCAAACAUCAUGCUUAAAACUAAUCAUUCAAUUAAUCUCUAUUCUAAAUAAAUCACUUCAAACAUGCAGAGGUGGCAUCUUUAUCUUAAACUAAAGCUAGUGUGAGGAUCAAUUUCAUUAGAAGAUUUUUUUUAAAAAUAAUAAUAAUAGUUUCUAAAAUAAUUUUUAUUACAGCUAAACGUAAUCAUCACUUAAACCAUUUAAUGACAUAAAUAUUUUGAAAUAAAAUUUAUAUUCAUAAUGCAACUUGUUGGAGAUCCCACAUAGAUUAGAAAUUAAAGUCUUUCCACCGGUUCCCAGUAAAAGCAAAGCAUUACCUAAGGUAGAUCAUUUAUCUCUAAAAACUCCUUCCAGUUUGCCAUAAACCUUCUUGGCUAACUGUUGACAUCAUCUUCAAUCUCAGACUAUUGGGAUUGGAGCAAGAGUGGAAUGGAAGAAAGCUGUCCUUAUCUUCUCCUCCAACCGGUACCUCCUCCUGACAUGAAGGAAUGCCCGAUAAUCGGGGGCUGGUAUGUCCUUUCAGUUCUGGUCUGGGGAACGCCGAUCAAAGAAAGCACUCCUAGAAAUUAAAGUCUUUCAUAGUAUACAAGUGAUGCAAACCUCACUCCAUGAGCCGGUUUUAUGGGGUUGGGUUAGACUUAAAGUUCACUUCUAAUAUGGUAUCAGAGUCAUUUCGAGUCUAUCCUAACGAGUGUUUGUGUUGAAUCUAUCGUGUCACCCGCUAUCAGAUCACCCAUAAUAUAUAGACACAACUAACAAGAAUAAAUUAUUUUAGUUACUUCUAUCGUAUGUUGCAUAAUAAGAAGUAUUUUAUGGUAUUAUGUUAGGUUGUGGUUAGAAAGAGAUGUGUAGAGUAGGUUUACAAUGUUCAUGACUGUAAAUGAAAAGUGAGAAAAUAGUUAUAAGCUUCAUUGGAGGUAAAACCAUGGAGGAAUGAGACUUCACACCAAUGGUUAACAUCCAAACACCUAUUUGAUAUGUGAUGUUUUGUUGUUAGCUCUAGAAUUGACUUCAAAAUUACAAUUUUUCACCUACUCAGCUUAGAAACAAGAAACAUGUUCACAUGUGCAGUGGGAACACAUGACAAAAACUAUAUUAUACGUUGUCAUGUCUUGACGUUCUUCACAAUUUAUAAUCUCCUGCAAUUAAAUAAAUGGAUCUCGAUCCAAUUUCCAUUAUCUUAUUUUUUUAAAAUCACCAUAGACAGUGAAAUUCAUGACAAUUACGAUAAUAUUGGAGUAAAAAUGCAAAUAUAGAAAAAAAAAUCAACACUAUAUCUAGUUAGAUGUAUAUAUAAUAAAUCGAGUGUGUUUUAAUUGUUUCGAAUUUUAAAAAAAAAUACUUAUAAGUAAUAUUUGAAAUUACAUUAGUAUCUUCCAAUCAACACUAACACUUAGUUCUUAUUUAUUAUGGUGUUUUUUCUGUUAAUACUAAGUGAUUUGGAAAGAAAUUUCUACCAUUUUUUCUUCCUCCAUCAUUUCCACUUUUCAAUUCAAACACAAGUUUAAAAGUGAUUUUUAAAAUAUAGCAAAAUAUAAUAUUUACAUAAAAAAAAAACACAAUCUAUUGUAUUUGGUGAAUUAAUAAUAAUGUACCCAUAUCACAUUAUAUCAUAGUUGUCACAGUACUGUUAUACUAUAAUAGUUGUGGUAUUGGUAUGGGGUACAAAAAACAGGUGGGGCUUAUAAAGACUAUUUAUAGAAAAUUCUUCCUGCACCACCAUGUCUUCUCAUGGAUCUUUAUAUAUUUUUUCAACAAUAUUUUUUUAAUUGAAACACAAACUAAAAUUAUUAUUUUUAAUAAAAAAUUAUAUAAAUUAAAAAAUUAAAAAUUCAAUAUAUCUUCAAUAAAAUUUCUUAUCAUAUAAGGAAGUUAGUAAAAUGUCACAUUUAAAUUAUUAUUUUUUAUUUUAAAAAAAUGAUUGAUGUUAUUUAUUUUUAAAUACUAAGAAAAGGUAAGAAUAGUAUUAAGUUAUUUGAACUAAUUUAUGUAUAAAAAUAUAAGUUAACAAUUAUUAAAUUAUUUUUUUCUGAAUAAUAAAAAAAUUAAAUCAAAUAAGAUUGAAAAAUAUUAAAAAUAUAUGUUUACUUUUUUUUUCUAUAAAAAAAAAUCAGGAUACUACAAAAAGCUACAGACAAGACUGUUAAAGCUGGAGUUCCGGAAGAAGGAGCUUGAGUUGUGGAAGAAGGACCAAGUCUUCCAUAAUCUCUAAUGCAGGAAGAGAUAUUUGUAUUAUUUUAGUUUUUAUUGAUAAAAAAAAUACAGAUUCAAUGUUAUAAACGAAAACAUGUUACUCUAAUUUGAAAGAAUGAAAUCUUACUCUUAUUUCAAAAGUUUAUAAAAAAUUAAUAUUAUUUAUUGUUUCCAUGUUAACUUUGUAUAUUCUCCAAUAAAAAAACAUCAUAACAAUUUUUUAUUGAUUAUAUAUAUAUAUAUAUAUAUAUAUAUAAUAAUAAAAUAAAAUAAAAAGUUAACUAAAUAAUAAUUAUAUAGUAGUAGUUAUUUAUUAAUUAUACGAGAUCAUAUAUAUAUAUAUAUAUAUAUAUAUAUAUAUUAAGUUUUUGAGUUAGAGAGAAAGAAAUUUAUGCUAUUAUUAGAUUGUGAUCUAAAUCAUCAUAAUUUUUUUUUAUAUAUGACAACUGUGAUCUAAAUCAUCAUAAUUUUUUUAUAUGUGACAACUGAAACGAUUUUUAACAUCCAUUAGAUUGAAAAUUCUCUAAGGAGAUAGGAUAUGUCCAACAAACACUCGUUAUGAUAGACUUUAAAUGGUUUUGAUACCAUAUUACAAAAUGGACUUUAAAUCUAACUUAACCUCAUAAAACCGGCGAGGUGAGGUUUACACCCACUUAUAUACAAUGAAUUGUGCUCAUAUUUAAUCGAUGUGGGAUCUCCAACACUAUUAAAUCCUAACUUGAAACAUAAGAAAUAAAGUGUAUAAAAUAUUUUAAACAGAAAAUAAAUUUAAAAAAUGAAUUUAUAGUUAAAAAAAUAAGAAAUAAAACUAUAGGUGAGAUUCUUCCCAACCAUUCCAAUGAUUUGGGUGGAAUUUCAUACCACAAUGCUACAAUCCUGGAAUAUAUUGAAUAACAAAAUUGAGCUAUACCAAUUUAUUUUAGUGUAACGUAUACCUAUUGCCCUAGUUUAUCGCGAUAUCUACGUUAAAAUUAAAUAGUACAAGUUGACGCAAAUUUAUGACCACUCUUCUUUGGCUUUUUCAUUUUCUAUAAAUUAGAAAAUCCAUAGAUGAAAAGAACAUGAAAUUUUUCUUAUAUUUUUAUUCUCCAAAAUUAAGCAAACGCAAAUCAGUGGUUACUCCAAACUUUGAGGUUACCAAAUGAUUACCACUCUUACCAACCUUAGCAGUGUCUCAAAUGACAUCAAGAUGUUGAUAGUGUAAUUUAGGGUUUUAUUUUUAUUGUUUUACGUGGGUUGCUUGCAAAUUGUCUCCACUUCUUUAUUAUUAAAGAAAAUAAAGGUCAACUCAUUAUUAACCUCUAUCCAAAUGUAAUUAAAUGCAAAUUACGCAAUCAAACAUUACUACAUGUUCACUUCUACUUAUAAAAAAAAAUAUUAUAUAUAUGUGGUAUAUUUGAUUUUCACAAAAAAAAUAAAAAUCAUUCAAUUUAUUCUUUUCAUAGAGGUUUUGUGGCAAUUCAUAUGGAGGUGGUUGUUCUUGAAGCAAGUCACAGAUUUGUGUAGCAACAUUUUUUUAUGUAAGGAAAUUAGGUAUAGAGAUAUUGUAUGAAAUAUGUUGUAUUUAUGUGGGAUCAUUAAUAAUAAUUGGUUGGGGUUUUUGUUUUGGCACAAUUUAGCUUUUGAUUAUUGUGUGUUGGACUUAAAUAAUACAUAUCUUCUUAUUUUUUAUAUACGCUUGAAAUAUCUUAAAUGUUUUUAGUUAUCACACCACCAACUUGGAUUUAAAAUUUAUUUUUUAAUAAAACAAAAUAUUGGUUAAAAAAAUUAUAAGAAAAAAUUGACAUGAAAUUUGGUGGCCGUGAAAAUUUGUUUUCCAGAUCAAAAUAAAUAUUGUAAGAUGAAUCUAGUUAAUAACAAUUGAAUUUGUGAAACAUAAAAUCAAAAUGAGUCAUAGACUUUCAUGAAAUGAUUUAGAUACAGGAUUGUACACAUAUUUUAUCUUAACAAAUAUGCUUUAGAUAUUUAGAAACAUUAAAGCAAUGAGUAAUGAAUAGUGACCCUAGGACAUUAAGUAGUUUUUACUAUUAGUGAAUAGUACUAUACAAGGUUGUUUUAUUUGAAGUUCAAUAUCAAGAAUGUUAUAUGAUUUUGGUGUUGUACUAUCGAAUGGUCAAAAGACUGACCAGACAAUAAAGUCGACUAGACGACAAGAUGCAAAGUUAAACACGUAAUUAGGUAUAAAUAGGUCAACUUAAGUGAUAAGCACGAUUAAGGUACAAUUGGGUCUUCGUUUGGACCCUAAAGCAGACCCAUAGCAGCCAUAGCCCAUCUAGAGCAGUAUAAAUAGCAAAAGAGGCACAACACCCAAGGUAACUAUUCACUCCCUACUCUUCUGGUACCUAGCUCUCAGACUGACUUGAUCGUCGAAGUGUCUUCACAAGUACUCUCCCAAUCGUGUCCAGAUCAAAGGAGAUCCAGCCGAAAAAGCCUAACCGAAAGACCGGAAGGACGAGAAGAUUGCAACAAGAGAAAGUGUUUUUGCAGGGUAUUAGGUCUUGUAGGAACAAGUGUGUCAUGUAACGUAAUUCUCAUUUUUAAGUAUUUUUUUAACUAACAAAUUUGUAAUGUAAAUUAUUCAUUACUAAUUUAAUGUUAAAUAGUCCUCAUUUUUUUUUUUGUAAUUAUUCAACUUUUAUUAUAAUUAUACUUAAUAUAUAAACAUGUUCUAUAAACAAUCGUAGAUAGAUUUAGAGUGUUUAUAUAAUCUCUUUUUAUUGAAUUGUAUACAUAUAUAUAAAAUCAAAUGCAUUUAUUUACUAAAAUAGUUAUGUUUUGGAAGCUCUUUAUUAAAUAAAGCUUUUCUUAUUACAUUAAAUUUGAUAUUAUAGUUUGUAAUAGUAGUGUACGUGGAUACAUCAAUUACCAAGUAUACAUAUAUAGAGAAAGAGCAAUUACACAAUGAGUUUAACUUAAUCUUAAAUUCAACCAUCAGAGUCAUUUUAAUCAUAUUCUAACAAAUGUUUGUUGGGCUUAUCAGGUUACUGGACCGUUAUUAGACCACCCAUAAUAUGUUAUUUCACGCAUGAGCUCUCACUCUCAGCGUGAAAGUGUGUUGAAAAUCCCGUAUCGACUAGAGAUUAAAACAUUUCAUUAUAUAUAAGUGGGUGCAAACUUCAUUCCAUAAACUGAUUUUAUGAGAUUAGAUUAAAUUUAAAGUCCAUUUUGUAAUAAAAUUAGCAAAAUUUGAUAUUAAAAUGCUUUAUACUUUUUAAUAUCUAUAUAAGAAAUAGAGAAAGAGAAGUUUCUGUUAAUUCUACAAAUUUAUAAAAGAAAAAUAAAAAUAUUGUGACAGUUUUAUAAUUGGAAAUAAAAUAAAUUAAGUAUACGCAUGAAUUUAAUACCAUGCCCUGUCGUUUGCACGCAGUUUCCUCUUAAAAUAAAAUAAAAAAAGGUAUGCGUAAAGAAAGGGUCAGAAUAGGAGUCAUAGGGACGCUGUCGUUUACAAAAAGAAACACCGAAAGUUCUGUGGAAUAAAAAAUAGUCUACGUUCUACAUUUAUUUUAUUAUUACAAUAUGCUAUAGGAAACUUCGGAAUAAUUAUUAUGUCAAUUUAAUAAUAUCUUUUUUAUAAUAACCUUUUGGAUUUAGUAAAUCUUAAAAUUUAAUCUCUUUACUGUCCCUAGUUUCUUCAAAUUUAUUACAUGUGACAUUAAUAUUGCUCAUAUUACUAAAACUAUAAUGUCUAAUGGAUCUAACAAAUUUUCGUAUAAUUUUCGCAACAAAAUAAACAAUAUAUAUAUAUAUAAAUAAAUGAUUUAUUACUAUUUUAACAUGCACAUAAUUUCACAACCAUACAAUUUAUAUAUAUAAAAAAUUCCAAUUAAAUAACUAUUAUAAUUAAUUUCCCUUACCCCAAAUAUAUAUGACCAUUAGCAAUACACCUUCAUAAUUCAACACUUUUCUCGUAUAUAGAAAUCCAAUUAUCACUUAUGCAACCAACAUUUCUUACUUACUUGAACCAAUAUUAUUUUCAAAUUCUCAAUAAUAAAAAAAAAAAGAGAUCGAAGCAAUUUAUGUAAGUAAUCUUACCUAUAAUUAGUUUGUCUCUAUCAUCUCCUUAUUACUUCCUUAGGAAUAUUAUUUAUUAUAAAAACAGAUAACUUAUAAAAAUAAUAUAGAGAAUUUGUUUCAGAAAAAAUGAAUUUUAUAUAAAUAAAAAUGAAACUAUUAUAACUUCCUUUUUCGUUUUGCAGUAAAGUUUAGCGUUUCUAAAAAUAUAAGUUUUAUAAUAUAUAUAUAUAUAUAUAUAUAUAAUUUAUGUGGUGGAUAUAUUCUUUAGAAAUAAAUACUUACCAGCUGGUCCAUUUCAGUGAAGAUAAAAAAAGAAAAUAAUUAUAAAUAUGAUAAGUGAAUGUAAUUAUAAAAAGUAAACGUAGAGGAAUGCUUUUUAAAUUUUAAACUAAUAUAAAAUAAUUAUAUUGAAUGACACAACGGUUUCGUAAGAUAAAAGAUCAAUAAUAAAAAAUAAAUAUUUUCAAUUCAUAUAUAUAUUUUAUGGCUAGUUGAGCAUUUAACGUUUAUUUGACUGAAAAAAAAAAUCAUAGGUGAAUGAAUAAGAUACCUUUUUAUAAGAAGGAAACAUUCAAAUGGAUUGAUUACUAUGUUAUUUCUUGUUUUCAUAAGUAAUAAUGUGUAGGCUCUCUAGUCUCUACUACUCACUACUAUUUUUAAAGUUUAAAUAAAUUAAACACUAACUAUCAAUUUCAUUAUUCAUCUUAAAUAUCAAUUAUUUUAAUUAUUAUGUCAACUAUAUCUUCUGGUAGUAAGAAAGAAGAGCUAAAUUGAUUGUUUGAUUAAGAAAAACUGUCCUAUUUUUAAUUAAAAUUUGUUUCUUUUUGUUUUCAUUGUUUCCUUCAUAUAGAGUUAUGUUGGCAUGAUUCAAGAGGAAGACAAAUAACUGUUUUCACUCUUUCCCUUCAAUUUAAUUUUUUAAAAUAACAAAUAAAUUGAAAAUAAGCUAAUAUUUUAAUAAAUAAAAAAAUAUUCUCAAGCAAAAAAGAGAGUUAAAUGUAUAAUAAGUUAAUUAUUUAUUUUUCAACAAUAUAAAUGUCACUAUUAUGCCAAUUUUGUCUUUAGGUGGGUGGUUGUAAGUUUGAUAACAAAAAUAUAAAAAAUAAUAAAUAUAUAUAUAUAUAUAUAUAUAUUUAUGAAUUGGUUUAUGUUUGGAUAUUUUCAAUUAUUUUUAAACAAAUAAAUGUAAAGUGUGAGUUUUAACCCCUACCAAAUAAUCCGUAAGUAAAUUGAUUAAUUUGAUCACACAUCAUAUUAUUAACCAUAAUAACAUGAUUUUUAUCAAGUCUCGUCCUCAAUCUUAGUUCAUUUAUUUGAUUAAGCUCAUGCCACAACCUCAUAUAACUUAGGCUCACUACCAUUGGAUUUUCCACAUCUCAAUAGUCAUAUGUUCGUGAAUGUUUUAUAAAUAUGGGACAAUAUCUGUAUAUCGUUUAUGUGAUUUGAUUGAAUAGAAAUACGUGUGAUUUGAUUGAAAAGUUAUACAUAAUAAUGAUGAUGAGGAUAAUAUGGUUUACAUGCUUAGUAUUUUAAUUUAUUAUUAAAAGAAGAUUUUUCAUUUUAAUGAUUAUCAAAAAUGUGUAAACUAAGAUAUUACAUAAUGAUAAGCUAAAAAAGAUUAAUUAUCAUUAUGAAGUAGAUAUAAUGAAAUAUCUUGAAUACAACGAAUUACCAUUAAUAGACGAGUAAGACUAUUAUUGACUAAUUAACUUUAAUGUGAGUCAUAUAUUAGUAUAGAGUGAAACUUGCUCACACAAUACAUAUCUUCUUAAAGAUUUAGUAGUUCUUUAUAUUUUCAGAAGUUAGAAAUAUGUUAUAUUAAAAAAAAUUAUUAGUUUUUAUGAAGACGUGAUUUCAAAAUAUUUAAUAACUUUUGUGGUCAUAAAUAUUUUUUUAAAAUAUAUGAAAAAUAUAAAUGUGGAGUAUAUGUACGUAAUUGUAUAUAUUUAAAUAUGAAUUAUUUUAUGCGAACACCUAACUCUAAUAUAACAUGCUAACAAAAUUUAAAAUAAUAUAUUAAAAAAAAGUUACUGAAGUCAACAACAGUGUGUUGAAUUCAAAGCAAAGAAGGAGAUGGAAGAAUUUUAAUAGAAUUGACGGAAAGAGAAGUUCCUUUGCUCCAUUUGUAUUUUGUUUAAUAUGCGUGGAGAAGUAUGAGCAGUACCUUGUUAAUUAUAUAUUUUUACAAAUAAAAAAUAAGGAUUAAAUAAAUCUUAGAAUAACUUUGUCCCGUUUCAAAAACUAUAAAUCAUUUUCUUUCAUUUUCAAUUUUUUUCCAAAUAUCAAAUGGAAGAGAAAAAAUAAUUAAGAGCCUUCGUUUUCCUCCCACACCCUUGUAACCAAAAUUUUAAAUCACAAAUUCUAAAAAAGCUAAUAAACUUUUAUAUAAAUUAAAAUUAACUUAUAUACAAUUUACAAAUUCAUUUUAAUUUUAAUUUUUUGUGGAAGAAUUCAUUAAAAAACUCAUUUAAAUAUUUCCUUAAUUAUAAUUAGUGUGGUGUAUGUGAAGACGUCAAAAAAUCCAAAAUAUUUUAAACUCGGGAGCAUGUAUCCACGAAAAUGGUUUGAAUUUUCCACGAAAAUCAUAGGUGUACAAUUUUCUUGGUCAAUGUGCAUGAUGCUUCUUUUAUCGUAUAUAAAAUCUACACCCGUUUACUUCAUUAAUAAUAAUCUCUUGACUUGUAAAAAAUCUGAAAUUAUUCAAUUACACUAUUUUAAAAAGAUGCAAUAGGUAAGAAAAAAAUAGAAAAAUAAUAGGUAAUGUGAGAGAUACAAAGAUAUAGAUGACGUGACGCACUAAAAGAUAUAUAUAGAGAAAAAAAUACAUCAAAUAUAAAGAUAGAAAUACAAUACUUGUUAACAAAAUUAUUUAGUUAUUUUCCAUUUGUGUAUCUCUAUUUUUUAGCACCAUUUACUAUAUUCAUUAGUUUAUUUUAUUUAAUUUUUUAUAACUACGUUAUAAAAGCCGAUCAAAAUAAAAAAAUAAAAAUGUUAUAAGUAUUAUAUUUUUUUAUCAAUAAAAAAAUUUAAGAUUUUUCAAUACUAUUAACAUAAAUAAUUAUAUAUAUGCAUAACCCAAAAAUACCUAAAAAUCGUCAAAAACAUGUAUACAUAAAUUCUAUAUACAUCAAAAUCGAUCUUCAACCAUUACAAAACCUCUUCCUAGUGGCUACAUCAUGUUGUAGAUAUUAUAUUAUACCAAUUUUACAUAUAAUUAAUUUACAUAGAGUAACCUAAUUCACAGCUUAUAAUAGAUCAUUUUAUCUAUGAAAUUUGAACCUAAUCAUAAAUAAUGCAAAUUCAAUUUACUUGAACCAAGGUCCCAUAUGGUGUCUUAUUUUUGGGAUCGUACAUGUGGUUUCAAUCAAUAUUAUUAACUAAUUAAUUAACAUUACAAUUAAACGAAUUAAUUUAGAGAUUUUAAAUUUAAAAAUAGUAUUAAGAAUUUUAAAAAACUAAAAAUAUUUUACAAAAAUACUAAAAAAAAGAAUAAACUAUUGUUGUAGGUUGGAAAAAUUGAAGGGCAAAAUUGGAAGCAAAUUAGAUUUGGAGUAUGAGGUUAACUCUGACAUGGAAUAAAUAGAGUAUUGUGUUCUGAAUUCUGACCUCACCACACCACACCAUCAUCACCCAAAUCUCUCUCACACAGAACACAACAUACAAACAAACAUGUCUACUCCAUCUUCUUCCCAUUUCAAAAGCUCGCACCCAGUUCAAGUUUUCUCUGCCAUUAAACCAUCACCACACACUCCAUCACCAUCUUCUUCAGCCUUGAGCUCCAUGAAGCUCAAGAGUCUCAUCCACACCCUCAUAGUCUCCCACAUGUGCCGCAUCAUUCGUGCACUCUCUAAGCUCAAAGCUGCAAUCCUCCAAACGCUCAAGGGAAACCACUCCAACAACAUUCACUUCCUCCACCACAGAAAGCACAAGAUGACCAAGAAGAUCAUCUCCGGCUCCUUCAGGCUUCACUACAACUGGUGCUCCUCCAAAUCCUCUCAAGUCAUCACAGUCCCCUCAAGGGUCUUUCAGGGUUUGUCCAACCCUGCUGAUGCCGACCACUUGUUCGAGGAUUGCCACGGCAGCUCGCAGCUCGCCGGCUACUUGAGGUGGCUGGAAGAGAAGAUUUGUGAAGAUGAUAACAGUUACAAAAAGAGCUGUGAGAGUGAGACUAAUGAAAUUGAUAUGCUGGCGGAAUUGUUCAUUGCGGAUUGCCAUGAGAAGUUUCGGUUGGAGAAGCAAGAGUCUGAUAGAAUGUUCCAUGAAAUGUUGGCUAGAGGCAUGUGAAAUUUGGUGGAACAUGUUGGUUAGCAUGUAAAAGUUCAGAUAACUUGUUGAUUAGCUAGAGGGCAAGAUUCAAUGUUAUGGUCUAUUUGCCUUUCUUAAUUGUAACUUUUCAUAAGAUGGAAAAAGGGUGAAGGGAGUGAGAAAAAGAGAUUAAUGGAAGAUGGGGAUUCGUGGAAUGCUUGAUAUAUAUGUUCAUAGUCAUGGAAGUUUUAUUUUGCCUUUGGCUUGUUCAUCAGAAAAUCAGAAAGUACUAGUGUAAAAAAACUUAUUUUGACAUUAUAUUUAAGGCACUUUUAUGAUAGCACUAUCAUUUAAACUAAAUGGUUAUUUGGUAUAGUCACUUUUUUACAUCAAAUCGUUUUGCAUAAGAAGGAGACUAUGAGAUAAAGCAUAUCUUCAAAUUCUUACUCUUUUUCUCAAACUUCUCUCAGAUCAUUACAUGUUAUAAAACAACUGUCACAGUCCCGACCAAUUACAGAAAUCAUUACAGUUACAUGAAAACCGGCUACUACCAUACGUAUGUGGUGGUCCUAUGUUUUCAUGUAACAAUUUCUCUGGAAGGGUGUGUGGUUGGUUUAGUGAAACACGUGAACUGGGUUGCUGAACAAUUCUAUGAGAUGGGGUUAAUUUGAACAAUGCUUGUGUUCGUAGUCAUGGAAACUUUGUUAAUUAGAAUGAACUGCAGCAAAAGUUCUCACUCUUUCUUCUUAUUUUCGUUGACAAAAACAAUGUGAUCUGCAGUAAUUUGCAUGUUAAAAAACUUGAACAAAAAUGAAAUUUAAAUUCCCACUGAAAAUGAAAUAAAUUAUAGUUAAUUAGGUAGAUGGAAUUGUAUUUAUACACGAGGAGGAAUCGGUUUUCUUCUUCAACACAACUUUGGAUAAAAUACAAUUCUUACGAAAAUAACCAUUGACCUGCAUUAUAUAUAUUAUAUAUGAAAAUCAGUGUAACAGUGGUUUUUGGGGGAAAGAGCUUUUUCAGCUGUUAAUUCAAAAGUAUUAGAUUAUAACGAAUGGUGAAGUUUGGCUUUAAUUUGAUUUCUCUCUAUACAAAAAAUAAUAAUAAUUAUCUAUCAAAUAAUCAUGUUAAUUUACAAAACAUUGGAAAGUGAAAAUUAUUUUUUUAUAUUAAUUUUAAAUUAUAAAAAUAUAGUUAAUUUGGCAAAAAAAUUAAAUUAAUUUAUAAUAAAAUUCGGAAUAAAUUAUUCGUCGAUAUAAAAAUGUAUUGUUUGAUUUAAAAUGACGUAAAGAACAGUUUCAGGGCAAUAAAUUUAAAUGUCAACAUAAAAUGAAGACUUAAAAUAGGCUUCCAAAUGUUCGGUGUGGAAAUGUGAAGAAUUAUUAUAUUUUACGAUAACAAUUUUAUAAUUUCCAUGAAUCUGAUAUGUAACUAAAUAUUUAAAUAUAAUAUAAAAUAAUUAAUAAUGUAUUACAUAAAUAAAUAUUAUAAUCAGGAUUAUACACGAGUUGCUGUUAAAGAUCACAGAUUAAUUUCUUAAAAAUGGAAUUAAAUUCUCCCUUUUCUCUUUUUUAACCAUAAUAUUAACAAGAGUAUUUAUCAUUCAAAUGGGAGAAGAUUCACUCAUCAUGAGUGACAUAAAUAUUUUUAUUUUCAAAUAUACUAGUAGGCCUCGUAAAUAAAUUGUUAUGGGUUCUUUAGUAAGUACUUAUGUAAAAUUUUUAUUUGUAAAUUAUAUUUUAGAUUUUGUAAUUAUAUUUAUAAUUAGGUAUUAUAAAUUAGUAUAUGCUUAUUUGCAAUUAUAUUUAACUGCGCAUCUUAUCUUAAUUUUAAUAUGGUAUUUAGUUUAGAAACAAAAUAAAAAUGGUAAAUGGAAAGACAUAAAUAGUUAAAAAUAGUAAAAGAUUAAGUAUGUACACACAAAUAAUGAUAAAAUGGAAAGACUUUGAGAUGAUUGAGAUAUUUUUUUUAGUUAAAUGUGAAAAGUGAGAGUCUCAUCCUUUUCAAUUUGAGUAUCUAAUAUAUAAGAUGAGGUACAUUGCUUACAUAUUUUAAAAGAAUGUAGGUAGAAGGAUAGAUUAAGGGAUAAAAAAAAAAUCAGCAAAUUAUAAGAAGGAGAAAAAAGAAAAUACUGAAGAUGUUUAAUUAAAAACAAAAUAUUAAUUUUAAUUCACUACUUUUAUAAAAAAAAAAUUAUGUGAAGAAUUAUUUAAAAUGAUUGUUUACAUGUGUUUUUAAGUUAUUAUUGUAAAAAUAAAUAAAUUUAUCUUAUAUAAAGUUUGUGAUUGAAUAUGGUAAAUUGUCAGUAAUUAAAUAAAGUAUUUAUUAAUAAAGAAAAGAGAAAUUAAUUUAUAAUAUAUAGGAAUAGAUUAUGAUAACACUUAUGGUGGGAUGGGACUCCAUGGGAGGAUCCUAAUCCACCAUAAAGAGAGAGGAAGAAUCCAUGGUCACAUUAGGUCAUGGCUUGUCAUUAUAGCUAUAAAGGUGAUUUUCAAUGGAAACAAAGUGGGCCUAACUUUUGCAUGUGCAGUGCAAGACAUCUUUUUUAUUGAAAGAAAAUAAAUAAAGCAGAUAAAAAAAAUGAGUAAAUAACACUGUAUAAGAAAUAAAAUAAAAAUUAUUUUGACUUCAAAUCCCAAAGAUAAUAAGUAAAUCAUGUAUUUGAGAUAUUAUUUGUUUUGGAAGUCAUUAUUUUAUCACGAUUUUGUUCUUAAAAUGUGUUUCGGUGGGUGAGAGGAGAAAAAAAAAGUAUAAAACCUCAAGUUUGAUAAAUAGGAUCAUUAGAGUCAAUCACUGCAUUCAAGGUAUUGUUCACUUUGGAUGUCAGUGUUUCGUUACAAUUUUGUCUUUAAAUGGCACAUCGAUGGAUUAGAGAAAAAAGAAGUAUAUAACUAUUAUUAACCUCAACUCCUGAAAAUGUGAGACUAUGUUGACUAUAUUGAAACACAAAUUAAAAAAAAAAGUAGAAAAAAUAAAAAUAUACCAUCAACUUGUUUAAUUUCAUUAACUCUACUUGCAUCCAUAUCCAACCAAACAUAAGGAAAAAUUUAAAAAAGAAAAGUGAGUCACGGGCUUAGUUCAUGAAAAAGUUUUGUAGAAAGAAAACAAUGCAUAGAAGUUUGUGAUUAAUGAAAUAAUUAACUUUAAUUAUGGAUAAUGAAAAUAAUUAAAGAAAAGUUGUAACCAAUGUUGUGGCAGGACUUAAUUAUUUUCACAGUAUAUUUUAUAUCAUAUAGUAAGGAACAAAGUACUAUGUGAAGAGGAACCUGAACAGUAGAAUUCUGAACCACCAAAUAUUUUUCUGAUCUAGGGUACCUAGGCAAUAAUAUUUCAGAAGCCUAUAAUAUUGCAACAAUAAUUAUACGAUUCUCAAUAAACCCAAUUAAGUAUUGUUGAUUGAGAUCAUGGAAGUUUCACUGCAUAAAAUGAGUAAACCAGAACACAUACACAGAGUCCAAUGAAUAGAAGAUACAUUGACAGUUACAAAACGAUAAAAUAAUAUGCAAACAAAAAUCUCAUGCCACAGUUUGCAUCACAAAAACUGCAAUUAAUGCAUGCAAUGGCAGGGAGUGCAGCUAGCUGUGACCAGAACCAUGUGUGAUGUGCAUAACAUUAAUCUGCAUUAUUUGAAAUCUCAGAAUCAUGAUUAUCGAAUGUAAAAUUGUAUUAAGACAGUAAAUGUUUUCUUAAAUUUUAUCAAAUUCUGUUUAAGAUGUGAUUUAGACUGAAAUUGAAGUUGCUAAGAGUGUGUAUUAUGAGAAUGCAUGGUGUUGGAUUUUAGUUUUAAAAGUAUAAGAAAUGAUACGGCGCCAUGUCUUCUGGGACCUAAGUAUCGUCCUAGAUUAGUGGAGAACAACAUAUAUCUUAUCCCUUGUUAAAGCAUUUUUUGGCCUCACUCACUUGUCUGCUAUUGUUUGUUUAUGUGGGUUGUGGCCAAAAUAUGUAUGAAUGAGAAAGGAUCAUAACCGUACCAAUCAAUGUGUUAACACAUUCAUUUUACUAGGUUGCCCCUCCUCUGUGUGCACGAAGGACCCUUCUUGUCGAGGGAGCACCAUUCAAACACUUCAAAAAAAAAUCCAUUUUAACAUUCCGAAUAUUAACAGAAGAGCUUUUGGUUUAAAGGUAAAUCAUGAAUCCAUGUUUAACCUAAUUUGACUUCAAAUUGAACCUAUACUAAAAAACAUGUAGACCAUAGUUUUCCCCAACUCAUUUUACAUUUUACAAUAACCUUGUUUUGGAAAAUUCUCCAUUGUCCAAGUUUAUUUUGGGAAAAGAUGAAUUCAGAUUAGAGCAUGCAUAUGUUGGUCUUUUCCAAGACUUAUUUAUGGGUUUUAGUAACAUUUUUUUUAAUGUUAGGUGGAUAAAAGAUAAAGAGAUUUUAUAAUAUAUAAUAAUAUAUAAAUUAGUGUAAAUUUUAUAGAUUGAAAUAAUUUAUUUUAACGAAAAUUUGUUGGUCAAAUGGAAUUCACGAGAUAUGGUGCAAAAUUCGAUUUAUGAGAGUGAUUUUGUAAAAUUGAAUUAAAUUUAAAGUUCACUUCUUAGAAUAAAUUUUAUUUGUGAAUAUCAAUCAUUUUAAAAAUUUAAAAGAUAUUUUUAAAUAGGAUGCUUAAAUUUGUGUCUAUAGUUUUUGUUAAGUGUUCAUGUAUUAAUUCCUUAACUAGUGUUUUUAGGUACUGGUUAGCAAGAUUCUUCAUUGUGUAACAUUUGUUAAUAAAAAGUUAAUAAAAUUAGCUGAAAAAACUAUGGCUGAUAAUCAACACUUACACAAACUCUUCCAAGAGUUAAAAAAAACAGUUGAAAUAGUGUGUCAUCCAAAGAUAACGUGAUAAGAUUAGUAACAAAUUACCCAACCCACCUGCUCCAAUCCUCCUCUGUUUCAGUGUCUGUAUUUGAAUAUUUUUCAAAAUCUUUAGUUGAAAAUUCAACAAGAAAAUCAUAAUGAAAGGAGAAGAUGCAUUAGUAGUAAAGAUCAAGAAUCUUAACAUUGACCCAGAUAAAAAAAAAUAUUAAAAUGUUGGUCCCCCUUAGGUUAGUAAAUUAGAGUGAUGAAGAUGCACACACCCUGUCCCAUUAGCAGACAGGUAGAUCAUGCUACAGUGGUCUCUCUCUGAUGCUAUGUGCUCCCCUCACUUCUGAGAGAGGACAUUCACCUUAUUACUUUUUUUGACAUUGUCCCCUGUUGAAAAGGAUUGCUGGAUAAAGAUUUAUUGUUCUUAUUGGAAAACUGUAUCAAUCUUUAAUCAUUUUCAUUUUUCAGAUUCCACCAAAUCUUUCUCUUUAACCAUCUUAUUUGUUAACGUUGAAAAUUCUACACCGAGUAAAGAUUUUUUUUUUAUCGAGAAUAGCAAUUAAAUAAAUAAAUGUAAACCACUUCAGGGUGGUUCAACUCAUAUACAAAGAAAGCAAAAACCAACAACUAACUAAGACUAACAAACUAAUUAAACCAAAACGCUAACCGAACUAGAAGUCUAAGAAUCGCUUCAAGCGACCAGACUCAUACAUACCAAAGGGUCCAGACACCAAUCGGAAAAAGAAAACGAAGCAUAACGCAAUUUUGUAGAAAUCCAAGACCAAACAUUUACUUGCAUCAAAACACACACUUCAGACGCAUCAGUCACAACCUUGUUGAAAAUGAUAUUGUUCCUGUGAAUCCAAAUUUCUCCCACCACCCCUACCCAGAUAGUUCUCCACACGUCGUUAACAGUCUCAGAAGACAAGCUCAUCCUGAACUAAACGUCGUUUGUGUCUCACAUAGCAUUUUAUAGUAUAUUAGUGUAUGCAAACAUCAUCUCAUAAGUUUGUUUUAUGAGGUUGAGUUAGACUUAAAGUUUAAUUCUUAACAUCAAAAUCAUUUUUUAACCUAUUGUAACGAGUGUUUGUUAAACUUAUCAAAUCAUUCAUACCAUUUAUAAUAUAUUGUGUACAAACCAAUUUUAUAAAAUUAAAUUAGGUUCCUUUUUAAUAAUUAAAUACUCUAAUGGAUGAUUUAUUUAUGUCUCACUUGACUAUGUAAGAAGGAGACAAGAGCAUGGUGAGUGAUUCAAAAGUGAGAAAUACAUUGCAUAGAUACGUUCUUUGAUUCAACACCUUGUUUAUAUCUUAUCACAAAUACCAUCUGCUCUUAAUAAACAAAACAAAAAACAAAUUUUGAUUUCUAAUCAAUUCUGCAAACAAGUAAUUAAAUUUAUGAUUAGGUUAGACUUGUAGGAUUAAUAAUUGAACAAUUUUAGGAUUUGAUGAUUAAAGAUGAGAAACAAUUUGGGAGAUAGGCACGUAAUAAUGGAAGUAUUUGUCUGUUACUGUUAAGCCAUGUGAUCCCUGUGCUGUCUAGGUUUAAUUAAUGUUAAAGUUUACUUAAUUAAUAAUUUAUACAAUCAAAAUGGAAGAAUCUCACAUCAGAUGCAUUCACAUUACUUUUUCAUUGUUUUAACAAACUACGAUACUAAUAUCAAUUGUGAUUAAUCUUCAAGAGUUCAGUACCAUUUGUGUGGAUACCAUUUUUAAUAAAAUGUGUUCUUUUUUAUCCAUCAUAUUUAAAUUUCUAUUUUUUUUCAUUAAUAUCUUUAAUUUAAUUAAUACCCAAAAUGUAAAUGAAAGAAAUAUUUUCCCUGCAGAUUUUUUUAAAAAAUGUAUAUUGGCUAAAAAUUGAAUAAAAUUAAAUAUUAAAAGGAUAGAUAUUUUUAAAAAAAUAGAAAGUUUAAAAAAUUAUAAAUACAAAAUAAAAGGUGAAUUACGUUGUUAAAACAUAAAACAUGUGAGUUAAUUUAUUAAAAACAUGAAAGUGUUGUUUACAAACUGUAAAAAGAUAAAUAUCGUUUUAUUAAAAAUAAAAAAAUAUAUACAAAUAUCUAUUUUCAAACUAGAAAUAAGGUAAAUAUAAUUUCCUCCAAAGAGAAAAAAAAAACUCCAAACAUUAGAUGUUGGGCAAUUGCUUUCUGCACCAUCUCGCUAUUCCCAAUUUCAGUGAAAAAGACGAAAAUUCUCUAUUUUUUUAUUAUGAAUUUUCUUAUUCGAAAUGGACUUUUGAUUUUUUUUCUGAAUUUUUAUUUUCGGAACACAAAAAUCUCUUCCUGAUCUAUUUUUCUGAAAUAUAUUAUUUUCAAUCCUGAAUUUUCAUUUUCAGAAUAAAUGAUAUUUUUAAAAUUUUAAAAUUAUGUUGAGUGCAGGUUCAAAAAUAUUUGGUGUAGAAAGAAUUUGCCUGUGAAUAUGCGAUUUUGGGCUAUGAAAUCUGAGUACCGAAGCCCACGUACUACUUUCCACUUAGCCUGUGUGUUAUGAACAUUACAUUCUGCACCCCUAUGAUUUGAAUCUGCACCCUUAUUGGGAUUAAAUGUCAAAAGUACCCUCCAUGAUUUUUUGUUUUAUAUUCAUUAUCGUUUUUGUUAGUUUGUUAUAGAUUAGAUAAUAAAAAAAAAUAGAUUAUACAAUUCAAAAACUAUUUUAAGUUUUGUAUACAUUCUUGAAUACAUUUUAAUAUACACUUUGGGUGCUAUGCUUUGUCUAUGUGAAUAAAAUAUUAUGAAUGGGAUUGCGGCACUUCACUUUUCGAUGUGGAAGGAUGACACUAAAAAGAAGGGAACCUUACUUCCUUUUUGCAUUGGUUAUCUGAAAUACAAAAUAUGAAUUUUAAAUUGUAUAGUUUAAAAUAUAAUUUUUUAAAAAGUUAAAAUUGAAUAUAUUUUUUAUAGGAGUGCAACUUCUAGAUAUGAGGAUGAAGACAAUGUCCAUGUGUCACUAGUGCUACAUUCAUGGGCCUUGACCCACCUCUCUUGAGGAUUUUUCUACCUGCACCCCAUGAUUAUUACAUGUACUCUCGUAUUAACAACAAAGACUAAAAUACUUUCUCUUUACUGGAAAUGUGUUCUCCAUGACUGCCUCACUUUUUGAGAGGAAGAAAAAAAUAAGCUUGUUCUGGAAUAAUAAAUUGGUCAUUUUAAAAGUUAUGGAGGUGCAAUAAGAAAUUAUGAGGAUCCUUAACCUUACAUGACUUUGAUGCAUUGCAUCUUCAAAUGGGUUUGAAAAGAAAUAAGACAAAUAGGUGAAAAGCUUUCUUACAAGGACUCACCGUGGAGGAAACAAAAGUUUUUUCUUUAAGAUUUUUUUCUUGAUUUUAAUAGCCUUUAAAAAUUAGAUUUUGAUAUGAACUAUGAUAUAAGUCUUUUUCUUUUUUUACCACUGAAAAAUUGUACAUUUUUUAUGACCUUUCUAAUAUAAGAUUAUACAUUUUUUUUAUUGUUGUGAAACCAAUUUGAAGCAUAAAUGUUCCAUUACAACUUAAAUUUAAUGUUGAAGUGUGUAUAGAAUUGUCUUAUAAAUUGUUUCACGCAAUCUUGCUUAUAAUUUAUCAACCACAAAUUCCACUCUUGUAUUGCUAUCAAACUCCAAUCUUAUUUGUGUUUUACCAAGUGGAUCCCAAUUAGUAUUGUUAUAAAAGGUAUAUCAAUUUUUUUGCAAAAUCAAUCACCACUUGCCCCCAUUUUCAAUGAUAAUUCUCAAAUCUUCAUUUUUUAUGUACCACUGCUUUUUACUAGUCAUAAUUCACAAAGUUUUCUUUUUAUAUGUAUCCACCAACAACAACAAAUCUCACUACGUGGUAUAGGUCUCCAAUGAUUUUAAAAAUAGUUCUUAACAAUUACAUACUAAAUUGAAUCUCAAUUGAUGUAUGAGUCUCCAAUUGGUUUGGAUGAUAUCGUAAUUGUUCUUGUCUGUUGACUUCGGUCGGGCUUCGUGGUGGACUCUGCGUUGUCUUAUCUCUGCUUGAUGCUGCUGAAUUGAGAUGUCGUUUUAAUACAGGGGGUUCCACCUGUUGAUCAAGUCAGUGAAAACAUUCAAACUAUAAAAUCUAUAUUAGUCUAGACUUCUCAAAAAAACUUUUCUUUACUCAAGGUCUUAAACCCUUUUAUAGACACUCCUUCAACAAUUUCAACAACAAAAAUAUUUCAUUAAUGUGUUCCUUUAUUUUUCGGGUGCCAUGCAACAUUAUUCCUAAUAGCUUAACCACCUCAAUUAUUCACCAUGUGAUUUUGUUUUUAAUUAUUUUUUCAAUAUGGACUGUCAAUCAUUUGGGCCGACCUCAUGACAAACCACUGGACCCGUUAUUCACCUCAGAUCGAGCUAGGUAUCUCUCAAACUGACCUGUCUAAUGGAGCUACUACACUUAAGUGUUUGGGUGAAGAUCCGAACAAGUUCGACUAAUACAAUAAUCAAUAUGGAGGUAACACAGAGAGAAAAUUAGCAAGUAAAAAAAUCAUGCGUUAUACUCUUAAUAGAAGAUGACUAAUUCCUUACUCAAUCAUGACUCAACAUUUCAAAAGACCUAAUAAGUUGAUCAAACUGAAAAUGAAUUUUUUUAUUAGAAUUAGAGACAAUUACAACUAAUACCGAAAUCAAUUUUUAAAAAAGGAACCAACUCAACUGAAAAUUUGAUUACUUUGAAUCAACAAAACAGUUGAAUAGUUUGUUAACUAACACAAAUAAAUUCAUAAUCAUAGAGAAAAAGAUGGAUGCAAUGAGAAAGACAUUAUGAUAAAUGCAGAUAAGAUCUAUUCACAAAAUGUGAGUGACAAAUUCAAUUUCCUGCAUACAUGGUGGUUUUGGAGAGAGUAACUGAAAUGGAAAUAUAAAUUAUAAAAAACUUUUCAAAGUGAAUGAAGGUUUUUAAAUUCAUAACGUAUUAGAUGAUGUAUUCUAACAUAGUUCUUCAAUUGAUUGUGAAGAUUAUAAUCAUGAAUAUCAUUGUCGUAUGCUGCCAAUUAGAAAAAAAAAAAGUUUUAAAAGUAUCUUGUAAAAAAAAACCCAGAUAAUGUGAAAAAGUAAUGUAAAACAAAGACAUUACAUUGAAACAAUUAUUGAAAAUAAGAUAAAUAACAAACUUAUAUAAAAUAUAAGAGUAUCCAUGAAACAUUAAUAUAAGAUAAGACGACUAAGAGAUAAAUUAUAUAUUAUGAACAAAAUUGUAAUUAAAUUUAUCGAUAUUAAAUUAAUGUUUAAUUAUAGGAGUGUAAUUUAUGAAAAGUCCUUAGUUCCUUACAAGGAACUUACUAUUAUGAGUCUUAUUAACUAACUACCAUAAAUCUCAAUGCAGGGAACCUUAUUUGUUGCUAAUCUUAUAUUGUAGCUUGAGUUUGACAAAUCCUGUAGACAAAAGAAAAACUACAAUGAAUCUUAUUGUAUUUUAAGUGAGUUCCUUUAGACUUUAUCACCUUUAAGUAACUGUUCUAAGUUUUAUAAAAUCUACAUUUUUUAUAUUUUUUACAGUUUAAAAAUUAAUUUAGUUACUAUAAUUUAAUAUAGUUUAUAUUGAAUUUUUUCUAUUCCUAAAAUCUUAGAUACUGUGCAAUACCAAGUCUUAAUUUUAAAAUUCUAUUAUACCUUAAAUCUGUGUACUACAAUAAAAAAUUGUUAUAAUAAAAAUAUUUUAAAUUUAAGAUUAUUAUCAAUACAAAUUUGGUAUGGCAUUUAAGCAUAUGCCUUUAAUUCCUAAUAAACCAUAAUUAUCUGAUUCAUAUUAAAAUAAUAUUUUUGUUAAUAGAAUAACUAUUCCAAGAAACAUUGAAAUAUCACCAAAUAAAAAACUUUUGUGAAUUAAAUCAAUAUUUAAUGAAUUAUACUCUAUUUUCCUAAUUUAAUUAACUGAAUUAUAAUUUAUUUUUCUUGUUCCUAUAUAUAAUAUAUAAUAUAUAAUACAUACCCUGUCAUUGAUAUGGUUUCUUUGAACCAAACCAAAACGAAAUCUAUUUUUCUAUUCAUUUGCUUUUUGUGUCCACUCGACUCUACUAUAUAACUCGUACGAGGAACACAUCCAACACCUCUGACUCUGUCGUUUUCUCUCUCCCAAACUGAAAACUAAAACCCAUUUUCUUCUCCAAAACCUUGACUUUCUCCAACCGAAACGCGCUUCCGAGCACAUUUUCUUCGCUCUCUCACCCAUUGUUCUAACCUCCUCGUACUGUCAAAUUCCGACACACCCGGUGAGCUCCAUUGCCCCUUUCCUCCCACUCCGUCCAAACAACGUUCUAGGGUUUUCUUUUUUCUUAUUACCUCAACCUGUCGUGAGAAAAAAAAUGAUUUUUAAUUUGUUUUAGCGAUUUUCGAAAUUCCUGGACGUGGGGUCGAUAGUUUUUUAAUUGGCUGCUAUUAUGUUGAAGAUUAUUUGUUUUAGGAACUUUCCUGAAAUUGGGCACUGUGACAUUGAUGUGCACAAUGUUCAGCUAGGGUUUAAGUUUAACCCCUUGUUUAGCUGGAUUUGAACUUUCAGAAUAUCAAAUGAAAUGGAGGCGAAAAGAAUAUUUUUAAUUUAGGGCGUGUGAAUUUUUCUGGCUUGGUUAUACAGUGUUAAUAUCAAUUUUGUAUAUAGAUUUGUGAUGAUAUAAUGCAAAUAGAUACCCUUCUGUUGGUAUUGCGCAUGUGCUUAGUAAUUUGUAAACGUGUGUGAAGAUUGAGCAUGAUUGGUGGCACAUGUUACUGUGGACAAAUGGUUACUGAGGUUAGUUUUUGGUGGUGUGGGGUAUGGAGACUGUUUAAGUUGGUAAGGGGACAAAACUUGAACUUGAAUCCAGUGAGCAAUCAGAUAGAAAUGAUUUGUUUGGUAUUUGUGCUUGCAGCACCUAUGUUUGAAUGCAUGAAAUUGGAAUUUGCUACUACACGUUAUAAGAGGGAAAUUCUCACUGGGAUGGAUUUUUUAUUUUGUUUGUGUGUGUAUAUAUGACAUGCAGUGUGUUAUGAUCAAGAAGGUUGAUAAGGAGCAAAAGUUGGUUUUGUAGGUGUUUGAAGGAACCAAAUAUCUGUUUCAUUUGAGUUCUGCAGGGUAGAAGAAAUUAUAGAAUGAAACUACAACCCUAAUGCAUGAAAUCUCUAAAGAUGCUCUUCAGAACCUUGAACUUGGAUUAUAUUUUAUCCUUUUAAUAUCAAAAUUGUUUCAUUGUAAAGUGGGUGUUGUGUGUGCGCAUUAAAAUUUGAAUGCGUAGAAGCCUUGUCACAUUUUCUGCCAGUGCCUUUCAUAUGCUUGUAAAUUGAAUUAUAUUUUUAGACAUUAUUCUUUGUUAAUAUGAAAAUCCUGCGGAAUCAAUCAUUUGAGUUACUCAAAUUUUUGAAUAAACUUGAAAAUGAAAAUUGAAAUAGAUUAAUAGAGGUAGGGAAGUAAAGAUAAUUGAUUGUGUGUAUGAUCAAUGAUAAAAUUGGAAAAGAACAUUUAAAGAGUCAAGACUCCUCUGUUUCUAGAACAAAGAAAUAAUUUGAGUAACUAGCAUUCACUUAAAAAGAAAUUUUCCUUCCAAUGGAUGAAUCAAGAUCCUUAACAAAAUAAACUUGAACUUUGAAUAUCCUUAAAGAAAUAAUUUGUGUAACCAGCCCUCUGUUUCUAGAACAAAGAAAUAAUUUGUGUAACCAGCAUUCACUUGUAAAGAAAUUUCUCUUCCAAUGCAUGAAUCAAGAUCCUUAACAAAAUAAACUUGAACUUUUAAUGUCCUUAAAGAAAUAAUUUGUGUAACCAGCAUUCACUUAUAACGAAAUUUCUCUUCCAAUGCAUGAAUCAAUAUCCUUAACAAUAGACUUGAACUUUGAAUCUUUGAAACGUGUCAUUGUUAUUUCUUAUAUUAAGUACUUUUUUUGUUAAACAAUUUCAGGUACUGCUGAUGAUCUUUGUUCCUCAAAUCAGAAUAGAGUUCUGAGAUCUAGCAGUGUUACUGGCAAUGAAAAAUCUUCUAUAGGUUCUGUUACAUACUUUUAAUUGCAUUGUGACAUGGAGGCUCAAAUUCAUCAACUUGAACAGGAAGCUUACUCUGCUGUCUUGCGUGCUUUCAAAGCUCAGUCUGAUGCUCUUACAUGGGUAUAUAGCAUUGGUUCCCCCCAUGUAUUUUUUGUAUCAUCUUUGUAUUUUCCUGUGUUAAAGAUUUAUCUCAUUUUAUUUUAUGUAUUCAUCAGGAGAAGGAAGGUUUGAUAACUGAGCUUAGAAAAGAGUUAAGGGUUUCGGAUGAUGAACACAGAGAGCUUCUUACCAGGGUUAACUCUGAUGAAAUAAUUCAUCGCAUUAGGUUUGGAAAUUAUUUGAGUAGUGGCAAUAGUGUAGAAAAAAGUUUUUUUGGCCAUUUUCUGCUACUUUUAUAAUGUUAUGUGAUUGAAAAUUCAAUUCAGGGAGUGGAGACAAACUGGUUGUUACCAACCUGCAAGGCGCAGCACAUCUCAGCCUGUUCAUGACAUCUUACCUAGUCCAACUGUUUCAGUUUCCCGAAAAAAGCAGAAGACAUCCCAUUCGGUACCAUCUUCUAUUUAUAAUAUAUGAUGUGAUGUGGGCUUUGAUAGCACAUUUUUGUAUGUUCAUAUUCAUUGCCUGCAUUUGUUACGGGUGUUUUAGGAUCCAGAGGCCAAAAUCCAUAAUUUUACCGCACUUAAAUUCUUACAGAAGAGAUAUAUUAUUGCCCAUUUGGUUUUAAUUUUCCACCAAUAUUGGCACCAGGGUCAGUCCUUGCCUGCUUUAUCUUCAGUGAAGUCUGCACAAUAUACUUCUGCUGGACCUACUGGAGGUAGGCAUUUUUCAAAUCGCAAUGCUAGUGCUCUUGCAUCCAAUGCACCUGCUGAAGCAGCAGCCUUUGAUCCAUUGAUUGGGAAGAAAGUUUGGACUAGGUGGCCUGAAGAUAACCACUUUUAUGAAGCUGUUGUAACUGAUUACAACCCUGCAGAUGUAUGUUUAGAUCUUAAAUUAGUUCUAAAAAUUCUUGAUUAUUGCAUUUAUAUUUUACCUGGUGAACACAUUUGAAUGGUCACUGGUCUGAUUCUCAUUUGAAUUUUAUGUUUAGGCCCUUUAGGGUGAUUUAUGUAGUUGAAUUGUUUUGCCCACAUGUAGGAUGCCUUUUGGUUUGGUUUCCCCAUGCACCAAUUAAAGAAUGAACAGUAUGCAAACAUUUUGUAUUUAUUUCAUUUAGGAUAAAUGUGUCUCUCUAUCGUUUCUAAACUCUUGUAGGAUAUAUAAUGAAAUAUUGGUCCUUUAAUCGUGAUGGAAAUAAAAAAAGCUGAAAAGUGAUUAGGGCCCAAUCCUGAAAGUUCAUGGCAGCAUGAUAGGCUUUUUUUAAUAACUUUUUUCAGUAAUUUUUUAUCGAACUUUUGGACUUUUCUUUCUCGCAGGGUCGGCAUGCUUUGGUUUAUGAUAUUAAUAAAGUACAUGAGACUUGGGAAUGGGUUGAUCUCAAAGAGGUAUAUAUUUCGUAUGCUGUGCUGCAUAUAUAACAGCAAUAGUUAAUUAGGUUUUAAAAUUUCAAUAGUUACUUUGAGUUUAGCAUUUGCAAAAAAUGUUAAUAGAAAGAUUAACAUCUAAUAAUAUGAAAUGACUAAAAAAUAAAAUAUUUUUAAAGAUGACAAGACUAGAUAAGUAAGCAAAUGAUUUUUUUUGCCUGUAGCAUAACCUUCCUUUAAAAAAAAAUCUAGAAGGCAAGUCUUAUGUGUCUUAGUACCAAUGGGACACUGAGAACAUAUUAAGGGAUAGCAGAAUUUGCAGCAUCCAUCCUCCACAAAAAGCAGUUUGAAUCCUCCUAUCAGCUUAUCUGUUAUUAUGGCCUAAAACUAAAGCUAUUCAAUCCAUUGUCCUUCUUUUUGGCCUUUAGCUCCUUUUAUCUUGUCUUGGUAGUUGGUACCCUGGCUGAAACAUCAUACUCCAAUAGCUUAUUUUGCAUGUACUUUCAAUGUUUUAUCUCAACUUUUAAAAGGGGGUGUGUUAGGUUACACAUAGAUCUAUGUGUAACCUAACAGGGUGAUAUUUAAAUUAAGUACAGAAAGGGUAUAUAAUCAUUUUUUAUGAUAGCUGGUGAAUCUAUACUCUGGCCCUUGAAGGGUGCAUUGUAGAAUCCAUCUCUUAUCUUCUGUAAGUUUAAUCCAAUUUAGAGUCAAAUGGGCCAUUUUCCUUCCUCAUUUGUGCCACAUUUAUUAUCUCUUCAGUGCAAACUCAUUCUACACUUGUUUGCAAUAUUAUUUCACGUAUCAGGAAAACACUGUUUGAACAUAGACUGUGGAUGGGUGAACUUUACAACUUCAACCAUUGAUGAAUUUGAUAGAUCAGAUAAUAGUUAUGUAAGUUAGGUUAGUUAGUCAAAGAAAUACGAAGAAUUUAUUAGAAAGUAGGGAAAUGGGCCCAUUAAGGUGGGCUUACGUUAGCAAUGCUGUAGCUGUAUAUAAAUAGAAAGGUUGUGAGGGAUUUGACUUGUCAUUUAAGAGAGAAUGGGAACCUUUCAGCGUUGCAAGGUGAAGACCCUCGAUUUCUGUAAGUAGGCACUGUAUUGAGGGGAGAAAUCCUUUAUUUUUUCUAACAAGAUACCAGAUUUCCACUAUAUUUGAACAAAAAACCUCAAGCAAACAUGCUGACUAAACAUCAGAUUAGCAUACUGUAAAAUAUUUGAAUACUUUAUUUGAGAAAAUAUGGGGGUAUUGAUUUUUUAUUAUUAUUUGAAAAGGUUUCAAACAUUAAUGAAAAAAUCAUUAUGUAACAUAAGAUAAGAUUUAGGAUUUUUAUUAUAAAACUUUCUGUGGUUAUGUUGUCUGUAAUCUUGUUGGAGUAGUCUGAGGACUCCAUCAGAAAUAUUGUAAAAUAUUUGAAUUCUUUAUUUGGGAAAAUAUGCGGGGUAUUUAGGAUUUUAUAAUUAUAAACUUUUUUGGUUGUGUUGUUUGUAAUCUUUCUUAACAUGUUUUUUGGACUAAAAGUGUUUAGGAGCAGUUGAACCCUAAUUUGUGUUAAAUUCCAGCAUGCAAAUUGCAAUGUUCAUUGGGAUAUUCAGUGCUUAUGACUUAUAACUUACAAUUUUCAAUUGAUCAUAAUCAAGUUGAAGCCAUGUCUGGAUAUCUUUUAAUAUUUUUGGUUGAUGUGGGAGCCUAUUUGUUUGUUGACUGAUUCAUGGUUUCACACGACUACAAUAUUGUGUGGGGGGUAUAAGAUUAAAAUAAGGUGUCCCUAACUCUUUGAGGGAUAAUUUUUGCUACCCUCAUGCAUUCUGAAUGUGUAAGCUGUUUGUACAAAAUCAUGUAGAUCCUGAAUAGUACAAGGUAAAAUAAUUGCAAAUGAUUUGACUAUUUCUACACUGAGAAAUUAUGUUGCAAUAACCAAGAUGAUAUAAGUUGGGCAAAAUUAUCUGUCAUAUUUUACAGACAUAUAAAUAUACCUUAUCAAUUACAGAUCUCACCAGAGGAUAUAAGAUGGGAAGGUGAAGAUCCAGGCAUACUCCAUAGAGGUGGGCAUAGUGGGCACGGUCGUGGCGUUAAGAGAUUCUUUGGCCAUGGUGGUGAUUCUUUAGGUGCAGGAAGAGGGAGAGGUCAUCCCAGGCUUCAUACCAGACAAGAGUUUCACCCACCCCAAAAUGGUAUUGGGAAGAGAGUUUUGGAUGACAUCGAAUUACUGAACACAGAUUCUCUAGUUAAGGAGGUAGUGUGAUAUAUGCCUUAGCAACCUUUUUAAAAUCAAAAGAAUAAACAGGGAAGGUUUUUUUUUUUAAAAAAAAAACAUUGAUGUUAUUAUAACAGGUUGAAAGGAUUUUUGCUACAAGUGCUCCAGAUUCAAUGGAGCUUGAGAAGGCAAAGCAAAUGCUGAAAGUAAGUCAACCAUCCAUCAUCAUGAUUUUCCUAUCAUCAAACGUUUAUGCCCAUGAUUAUUGUUCACACACUUGCUUGAAUUGUUGUACAGGAGCAUGAGCAAGCACUUGUUGACGCCAUUGCAAGGAUUGCAGAUGCAUCUGAUGGUGAAAGUGGUAAUAAUUAGCCGUCUACAUAAUCAUGCUGCUUACUGUUGUAUUUGAAACCCCUUAUAUAUUUUUCUCUUUUUGCUCAGGUCAGACAAAUAAGCUUUUUGUAACUUAAUAAAUCCAACAUUUUUAUUAUACUUUUAUCUAACUGGGGCAAAACAUUUAUGCUUUUCUUCAUUUUGGAUCAGAACAGGAGAGAUGUACUAGUGAGUAAUUAGGGGCCUCUUAUUUUAUAGCGAAUGUUUGUCUUACGCUUAUUGAGAAAAUUGUUUUUUUUUUCUGUGCUCAUUAAGAGGACUUUUGAAAGAAAAAAAGCAAACAAAACAAGUUCUGUGUGCAUAUUUAAUAAAACUGUUGUAACAUUGUCUUUCAGUGUGAGGAUUGUUUGCACAAUUGGUGAUCACGGUCACCAAACUAAUGUUUUAAAGAUUAAGCAGAAAUGUGUUGUAUGCAUAUCACUAUUACAAAUAUUGUGUAACUUUUCACUGUGCCUUGCUUACAGAUGAAGAACAGCCGUUUUUGCAGCAUGGACAAUUAAUGGAAAGGGGAUAAGAGCACAGGAAAUACUGCAUGUUGGAUGUAAUCUGUUGCACAGGAAACAUUAUCUUUAAGCUCUGAUGAAUUCUCGUGAAACUCUAAUUUUGGAGAGAUGAAUGCGUGGUCAGCUUAUGCAUGCACACUUGUAGGAUCCAACAGCAGCAAAUGGCCAAUACGGUUUACUUCUUACUGAUGCUUUUUCUGUCAUUCAUUUAUUGCCCUCCCUGAAAGUUGCCACAUGUGCGAGUUUUGUAACUCAGUGACGGUUUUGAAUAGAGAGCCCCCCAACUUAUCAAUUGUCAGGCACAUCAAUAUCAAUUUUUCAGUCUGCAUGCAAGUGUAAAAUACUAUUAGUAAAAUCCUAAAUUAAUUUGCCAUGCAUUUCGUUUGGCUUUCUUCCUGCAACACAGCAUGAAACCAUAAGUAAAAGAAACAGUAGACAAAUUGCAUUUGCAGCAAAAAGCAUCUAAGGUGAAUAUGGGUAUUCCUCAACGCAUCCAAUAAUAUCCAGGAUCUGAUUAGCUAAGGCCUGUAGUCAAAGAUUGUGUGCCUUAACCCAUCAGAUGCAAAUUAAAAGAAACAUGACAAUGCAAAUUCACAUAAUAGCAAUCUGAAUAUAUAUAUCACUUGAUAACAUGGACACUAUCACUGACUCAAAUUAGCAAAUCUAAUAACCAAAGAAAGACGGUGUCGGACUCGUAAACCACAAAGAAUCAUUGGAUUCCAUCAAUUUACAGAAGGACGGUGUCGUAAAAAAAGCCGUCUCCAUAUACCAUAGUUAAGAUCCUUCAUCAUUCUAUACAAGAGAUAAGUCCUUCUAAAGGUAAAUACUUUUCUAAUCUUUUCAUCCUAUUUAUAAAUACCAACAUAGUAAUGAAAGAUAACUAUGGCCACCGGAACACAAGAAUCGGCCCUUUUCCUGCAUUAAGAAUGAAGCCUCCCACACCACAGCGACAAGAUCCCUAAUUUCCUCGUAACUCUUAACUGAGGUUUAAAACUAUAGGCUGGGAUCAUAUGUACGUAAAAGAAAGACGAAAAUUUAGUUACUCCUAAGGUAAAAAACUUAGAAUAUGUACUCCUUAAGUAUGUCAACAAAGCACUGUCAAAUUCCGUUUGCUCCAAAAGCACCUAAGAAUUCUCAAAGAAAAACAUUACCUGAAUAGUUUUAUCUCUCAUCCAUGACAAAAGAACAAGAGCGCAAAUUAGUAAUCGACCGACUACCUCGUCAUUGCUACAGGAAGAAGUACAAACAGAUAUGAUGGAUUGGAAUCUCUAGAAAUCUGAUCUUGGUUGUAAGAUACAAAAAGUACACGCUUCAAACUCGUAGCAACCGCUAAAAUUACUAUGCUCAGAUUAUGAAGUUGAUUCAGAACCUGAAGGAUAUUAUUAUACGUUAAAUUUACAUGCAAUGUCAUGGGUUUCUAAUGCUAUUCUUUCCAUAAAAUUUGAUUUUCACCUGAGUAACCCAAAUAAUAAGGAUAUAGAAUCAACUCGAUACAAAUUAUCAAACUGAAACCAUAAUUUUUUUUUAUUGUUUCUUCAGUAUAAACCAAAUCGAAUUAGAUGGAAUGAAUAUUACUUAGACUAAACCCAGCUUAUUGUCACUUGAACCGUGAAAUGACUGGAGAACAACAAAAUUGACGAAAUUUGACAGGUUUUCAGUGAAGUCUUCCUUUUCAAUACAUUUUUUUUUUUUUCAUUCAAAAAAUUCGAAGCCAAUAUGUUGUUUAAAAAAUCUAAAUUCAGUAUAACUUGCACCAAUGAAAUGUUAGUGCUUCCGAAGGUGCGUGAUUUAACGAACAAAGCAAAAAGAAAAUCAUAAAGAAAAAUGUUUUCAAGUAGAACAUGUGCCUAAAGUCAUGAACAUAUGGAUGUUAUGCCCAACCAAAAACCACGGAACAGAAACAGAACAAAUCUCAAGAAAUUAAAUCCUUCAGCUUCAACUUACGAUUCAGUGCAGUGUGAGAAUGCAUCAGAACACGAACAACCGAAAUCCUCGUAACCAUCAUCAAAGUCCACGACAUUUGACUACAAUCGAAACGACAGGUUCAAGCGAAAAACAGAACAACCGACAGGCUAUGAAGAGGAUUUGAAUGUACCUGAAGAAAUUGAGCAGUUUGAAGAGAUCUGUGUCCUCGGAAAUCGUCUCGAAACGACGUCAAUCCGAUGCUCCAUACGUUCGUUUCGUUCGGACUUCGAAGACCCUUUGCUGAAGCGAUUCAGGUUGUAUGAUGGAUUAUGUCGAGCCAAAAACGGUGCCGUUCUGCGCAACGUGUUGUGAGGUUGAAGAUGAGAAAGCGAAAUGCCGAAACAGCGCGCAUUCGCGUAGGCCCCACACACAGUUACCAUUCGCGACGCUAUUUGGAAUGCGGGACCUAUUAUUAAG